rnacentral:lncRNA from 1 species
CUCCUCCUCCCUGACGCGCAGCGCGGUGUUGACUUCGCCCAGCUGCUGCUGAAGGGCGGUGUUGGCUUCUGAAGAAGGAGGGGGAGCGAUGUCAGUCGUCAACAAAGAAGAAAGGUCACCGGGGAGAUCUGGCCCGACUGCUCAGCAGUCGGCCUGAAUCUUGAGGACUACAACCCGCGGGUGCGCCAGCACGCCCCCACAGAGAAAGAAGACUCACCCCGGCUGUCCGACAAGUCGGUGGUCCGCUUGGCCAGCUCCUCGACAUUGGCGUUGAAGGAGGUCACGCGAAGAUUGUGGUAAUCCUGCAUCAAAAUUUCAGAAAAAGUGUUGGUACUUGGAACUCACCGAUUAGAGUUCUAAGCCGCCUGCUCAGCAGCCGGCCCAAAACUCGGGGACUACACCCAGUGGGUGCACUGGCGCGCCCCCACAAAGAAAAACAAGGAAGGAUGUGUACCCGGAUGGCCGUUCGUGAUGCCAGGUAUGCUUUGGUGCACUCCUUGAUGGCGUCACCCUCGGCCCGGAGCUUGGCUUGGACGUCCAAGAGCGCCCGGUUCAACGGGCCCGUCCCGCCUCCCCGCACCCAACCAGUGGGCGCGGCGCUCGACACCUUGGUGUCCGGGAUCGUGGAGCUCGCAGCGCCGGUCUCCAGAGGACGCGGCGCUGAGGCUGCCUUCGCGAGACGGCAGCGCGUUGGCGUACUGACCUCGAGGGCCAGGCCCGUCGCCGCCGCGCCUCUGGUUGGCGGCACUGGCGGGUCCGUCGGUUGUCCGCCUGGCGCGCCUCUGGAGGGUGGCGGUGGCGGCACAAUGACUUCCGGCAUGGCGGUGACGUCGGCGUCCCUCUCCAUGACCGGGUUCUCGUCGCUGACUUCCCCAGUCUGCGCUGUGAACUCCGGUGGCGGCGGCGCGGAGUUCAAGGGGACGACAAACACCACAGACUGGCGGUGUGCGGCUUCCUCUGCGCGCUUCUUCUCCGCAUCGGCAGCCUCGGCCUCCGCCAGCUUCUUCAGAGCGGCGGCCUCCGCCUUGUCGGCUUCCGCCUUCUUCAAGCGGGCGGCUUCCCGCUCCUCACGCGCCUCCCGCGCGUUCCACUCCGUCACCUCCCGGAGGUCGGCGGCGGGAUCAAUCCGCUGGGUGGUGGAGGAGGUCUCCGCCGACUUUACGACGGAGCCGGCGGCUGACUUCUCAAGAGAGAGAGGGGCCCUAAAGCCGGGAAAAUAAAGUGAAGGGAUUUCAGACAGACUUAAUAAAGAAAUGUGAAGGUAAGAAGGGAGGUAGUACUUACGCCGAAAUCAGCUACAGCGUCUUCACCACCUUGCGGAAGCGGUUGGCCUUUGCAGCCGCUUCGUCCCACUUGGUCGCCGUGGCUGAGCCCUUGGGCUUCUUCGGCUGGCUGCCGAACAGGCUCGUCCCGGCCCUGCGCUUCUUGUCGCCGCCUUGAGCGUCCGGCGGGGCUGACAAGCCCGCACCCGGCUGGCCGGCUCCCGGCUGGUGGCGUGGGGCAACCUCCUUGUCAUCAUCAGGCCAGUCCUCAAGACUGGCCCAAGUCUCGGGCCACCUGACGCGCCGCCUCCCCCCUCGGCGUCGUCCUCCGGGGCCACCGCCCCCAAUUCGGGGUCGUCCACAUCGCUCUCUACUCGGUCGGGGAGGAACUCGUGGUCCGGCCCCAUGGUGCCAGCCGCUGGCUGGAGGAGGGGGUUCUGACCAAAGCCAACUGGUCAGAACGAGCAAGACGGACUCGGAAGUAAAGAUGUCAGGAGAAUCGAAGAAAAAGAGAGAAGGAAAACGACUCACCAGAGGCGGAGGGGCAGCACGUGAAUACGGCUCCUUGCCGAACUGCCACUCUUUGUUGAGGUCGCAGCUCGCAAGAUAGUUCACCAUGUAGGCUACCUCCUCGUGAGGCAUCUCCUUGGUGCACAUUCGGCUCGGGUCUCGGUGCCCGCUCAUCUGGCAGAUCAUGUGGGGGCGACUUUGGAGGGGCAGCACUCGGCGCGCCACGAAGGCGGCCAGCAAGUCCGGCCCAUUCAGGCCAUCCGACUGCGCCAGUACUCGAAGCCGCGCAAUGGCGCCGGCUCCCGCAGGUGUCAAUGUCCAGGCCCGGUGCCACCAGUUGGGCUGCCUCCCAGCCGGCGGGCCGGCUAUGUAGGCCGACAGGUUGAUCCAAUCGCCCUCCGCAGAGACGUUCUUCACGUAGAAGUACGACCGCUGCCACAUCUUCACCGACUUGAUCAGCCUGAUGGAGGGAAAUGGGUUGUCGGCCCCCGACCUCCGCACGGCGAUGAACGCGCCGCACUGAGCCGGCACGCCCACGGCUUGGGUGCCGAGCUUGGAGAAGAAGAACUCCCCCCAGAGCUCGAUGGUGGGGAGAACGCCGAUGAAGCCCUCACACAGGGUGACGAAGGCGGAUAGCAGCACCACCGUGUUGGGGGUGAGGUGGUGCGGCUGGAGUCCGUAGAACUCGAGGAAGGAGCGGAAGAAGUUGCUCACCGGCAGGCCCAGGCCGCGCAGGCAGUGCGAGCGAAAGACGACCCGCUUGCCCUCCUGCGGCGCCGGUGAAAUUUCUCCCCUCCGCAUGAGGCGGACCCUCACGAGGUCCUCGCCGGGCAAUCGACGCGUCUUGCGGAGGAAGUCGAUGUGAUCCUCGUGGACCUCCGAACCAUCCUAGGUACCGGAGUGCGCCGUCGGGGGCGUUAUGACGGAGGAAGAGCUCAUCGUGAGCGGACCGCCGCAACGUUCGACGAAGCUUGAGGUACAGAGAGAGAGAGAGAGAAAGAAGGAGAGGAAGCAGUGGGGAGGCGGGACGCGCGUGCUCUGCCGUUUCCCCUCCUCCCCCUACUUACAGCCCAGUGGGCUGCGAAGCCGAGAGGGCGGUUGUGGGAUUUACUGCGCCCACUACCCCGCACCCCCCACGUUUAUCGUGCAAAGUUACUGUGCGCGGUAACUCCGUGGGAACCUCAACCGUCCCCCACGGCCGCAGCGGAUCCGCUCGCGUGCCGAGGCGUGGUAGUGGCGGGCCCCGCCUGCGGACAUGUCCCAUCUCGCUGAUGGGUAGGCAGGCUGGCUCGGCCACUGGUUGGCACGUGGCGGGCGCGAAGUGGGUGGCGGCUAGGAAGCUUAGCUCAUACGCCACUGAGUUCCCGCCAGGGGAUUCAAAAGUAUUUUUGGACGAGUCAAAGUCAGGCGACUCUGACUCCUACCAGUUAGCCCGACAGAGUCAAGCAGAGUCUCCACCUCAAAUAUUCGGAGAAUGAAGCUACUAAGGCUCCUUGGCUGAUUGUCCGCGGCGCCUCAUCAGCUUCGGGGACUACUGUCGGAGUAAUGGGCCAUGGGUAGGCUAACCCGAGGCCCAUAACCUUUCAAGACAUCAGGGCUGACUCCGCCCCUCAAGACAACGGACGGAGAGCCGACUUCAGGAGGGCGGCUGGAGGAACAGCCGGCUGCCCAUAAGCGUCUGAGUCCUACAGAUGAGAUCGAGACCGAGCGACUCCGACUGGCGGCUUCCGGAGUCGCCGACCACGGGAAGUCGGCCCACGACACUAGCAAAGCCCAUGCCCUCAUCAGGGGGAUGGGACAGGGAGUGGCGACAGUGAAGCCCACUCCCUCCCUUUUUCCGGGGGAUGGCCAGGGCAUAGUGCGCUGUACCAGCGGAGAUCUCCGUCUAGCACAGCACUGUUGCCAUGCCAUCCCUGACGCCAGCAACAGUGGGUGGAGUCAUGUACCCACGACGGUCUGACGGUACGAUCCACGGAAGACAGGCCCUACCAGUCAGUGAGAGUCCAGAAGACGGCAACGGCGCCACCAGUCGGACCCGUAGGGAGCCGGCCCGCGGAAGUCGGCAUGCCCCUCCCAUGGGUCCCACGCACCAUUAUCCAGAUGAGACGGGGAGUGACUACAGUAAUUGCCUGCCAGGCGGCAGGACUGUAGCCACGACCCCAUGACCAAGCCUGCAUCAUUAGAGGCACGGCUACAGUGAUCAACAGCCGGCAGGACCCGCUAGCGGCGGGUGCGGCCUGUCGGCUCCGUACCCGACCAGUCGACUGGGCCCACCAAUCGGUGGGCCCCAGCAGUCGGCAGGAGGGCCCGCGGGCGAAGAGACUGACAGCUGGGCCCUACGUCCAUACAGUUUACCAUUGUACCCCUGGGGGUAGGCUUAUAUAAACCCCCCCAGGACACCCAUGCAAGGGGUUCCGAUUCAUUAGAACUAGACCAGACCUUAGAGAAAGGAGAGAGCUAGCCCUGCCUUCUCCUAUCCACAGAUACAGCUCGAGGAGCGCCUUUGUACUCACUUUGCCUUAGUGAUCAUGCGGAGACCCCGCAGAGCAGGACUAGGGGUGUUAUCUCCUAGGAGAGCCCCGAACCUGGGUAAAGUACGACGGCGUUCAUGUCUACGCCUCAUCCCGUUUCCAGGCACCAGCGACGUUCUACUCGCCCCCACCAUGAUAAGCCAUCCAUUGGCAUAUGUCGCACCCAACCCCGACAAAUCAGCAUCAGGGGGCCCACACCCUGUCCAUGAGGGUGCAGGGCGCGCCCCCUGCCUCGUGGGCCCCCUAAGACUCCAUCGACAUAAACUCCAACUCCAUACAUUCACAUUUGGGGAGAGAAAAAAUUAGAAAGAAGGAUUCAUCGCGUUUUACGAUACGGAGCCGCCGCCAAGCCCUAAUCUUCAUUGGGAGGGCUGAUUCGGAGUCCGUUCAGGGCUCCAGAGAGGGGAAUCCGUCGCCAUCGUCAUCAUCAACCUUCCUCCAUCACCAAUUUCAUGAUGCUCACCGCCGUGCAUGAGUAAUCCCAUCGUAGGCUUGCUGGACGGUGAUGGGUUGGAUGAGAUUUAUUCGAUUUAGUUUUGUUAGGGUUUGAUCCCUAGUAACCAUUAUGUUCUAAGAUUGAUGUUGCUAUGACUUUGCUAUGCUUAAUGCUUGUCACUAGGGCUCAAGUGCCAUGAUUUCAGAUCUGAACCUAUUAUGUUUUCAUGAAUAUAUGUGAGUUCUUGAUCCUAUCUUGCAAGUCAAUAGUCACCUACUAUGUGUUAUGAUCCGGCAACCCCGAAGUGACAAUAAUCGGGACCACUUCCGGUGAUGACCGUAGUUUGAGGAGUUCAUGUAUUCACUAAGUGUUAAUUCUUUGGUCCGGUACUCUAUUAAAAGGAGGCCUUAAUAUCCCUUAGUUUCCAAUAGGACCCCGCUACCACGGGAGGGUAGGACAAAAUAUGUCAUGCAAGUUCUUUUCCAUAAGCACGUAUGAAUCUAUUCGGAAGACAUGCCUACGUUACAUUGAUGAACUGGAGCUAGUUUUGUGUCACCCUAUGUUAUAACUGUUGCAUGAGGAAUCGCAUCUGACAUAAUUAUCCAUCAUUGAUCCAAUGCCUACGAGCUUUUCACAUAUUGAUCUUUGCUUAGUUACUUUUUCGUUGCCACUGUUACGAUUGCCACAAAACUUCUACUGUUACUUUUGCCACUGUUACCGUUACUUCCAUACUACUUUGCUACUAAAUACUUUGUUGUGGAUAUUAAGUCUUUCAGGUGUGGUUGAAUUGAAAACUCAACUGCUAAUACUUGAGAAUAUUCUUUGGCUCCCCUUGUGUUGAAUCAAUAAAUUUGGGUUGAAUACUCUACCCUCAAAAACUAUUGCGAUCCCCUAUACUUGUGGGUUAUCAAGACUAUUUUAUGGCGCCAUUGCCGGGGAGCAUAGCUCUAUUCUUUGAGUCACUUGGGAUUUAUAUCUGUUGAUCACUAUGAGGAACUUGAAAGAUGAAAGAACUAAUAUUUUUCCCUCAACUACGAGGGGAGGUAAGGAACUGCCAUCUAGCUCUGCACUUGAUUCUCCUUCUGUUUUGAGUAAACUUGCGACACCUACUCCUGUUAUUGAUUCUGAUAUGUCGCAUGUUAUUGAUGAUGCCACUUCUGCUAUGCAUGAUUCUUAUGAUGAAACUACUUCUAUGCUUGAUAAUACUGUGCCAUUAGGUGAAUUUCUUCAUGAACAACUUGCUAGGGUUGGAGAGAAUGAAAUUAUUGUAACAAAUAAUAUUGAUGAAAGUGAUGAUGAAGAUUCUCCCCCUAGAUAUGAAUUGCCUGAUGUGCCUGAGGGUUAUGUUAUGGAUGAAGAAACUGCUAGAGACCUUUUUGCUUGGAAAGAUAGAUAUGAUCUUAAGAAACUGUUAGCUAAGCUGAAAGAAAGGUCUUUGAAUGCUAGAAUGAAAUAUGACCCUGCUUUUGCUACUUCACCUAUCUGUAUUUUUGAUAAGGAUUAUGAUUUCUCUGUCGAUCCUGAGUUAAUUACUUUGGUUGAAUCUGAUCCUUUUUAUGGCUGUGAAUCUGAAACUGUUGUGGCACAUCUUACUAAAUUGAAUGAUAUAGCCACCCUAUUCACUCAUGAGGAAAAAAUUUGUUACUACUAUAUCCUUAAGUUAUUUCUGUUAUCAUUAAAGGGUGAUGCCAAAACAUGGUUUAAUUCUCUUGCUCCUGGUUGUGUGCGUAGUCCCCAGGAUAUGAUGUAUUACUUCUCUGCUAAACAUUUCCCCGCUCAUAAGAAACAAGGUGCCUUAAGGGAAAUAUAUAAUUUUAUGCAAAUUUAAGAAUAGAGUCUCCCACAAGCUUGGGGGAGGAUUCUCCGAUUACUUAAUGCUUUGCCUAAUCAUCCUCUCAAGAAAAAUGAAAUACUUCAUAUCUUUUAUAAUGGACUAACCGAUGCUUCCAGAGACCACCUGGAUAGUUGUCUUGGUUAUGUUUUUAGGGAAAGAACUGUUGAGCAAGCUGAAUUACUAUUGAAUAAUAUAUUGAGUAAUGAUAAUGAUUGGACACUUCCUGAAACAACUCCUAAGCCAACUCCUAAGAAAAGGGGUAUUCUAUUUCUCAGUCCUGAAGAUAUGCAAGAGGCAAAGAAAUCUAUGAAAGAAAAGGGUAUUAAAGCUGAAGAUGUUAAGAAUUUACCACCUAUUGAAGAAAUACAUGGUCUUAAUAACCCGACACAGGUAGUAAAGGUAAAUUCUCUCUAUAGAUUUGAUGAAGGUGAUAUUCCUCAUAAUAAGUCUGCUAGCCAAUGCUUGGAUGAGUUUGAUAAUUUUAUUGUUAAACAAGAAAACUUCAAUGCUUAUGUUGGUAGACAAUUGAAACGUAAUGCUUAUAUGAUUGAACACUUGAGUGAUUAUACGUCUAGAGUUAAAGGUGACCUUAAACUUAUUAGUAAACAUGCUUCUAUAGUUACCACUCAGGUAGAACAAGUGCUUAAAGCAUAAGAUGAUUUGCUCAAUGAAUUAAAUAAUAAGAAAAAUGAUAAUGUUGUUAGAGUUGUGACUAGAGGGGGUAAAAUGACUCAGGAACCUCUGUAUCCUGAGGGCCACCCUAAGAGAGUUGAGCAAGAUUCUCAGAGAACAAAUGUUGAUGCACUGAGUCCUUCUAAGAAGAAGAAAAGAAAAAUGAUAGGACUUUGCAUGCCUCUAGUGAAUCUGUUGUUGACACACCUGAGAAUCCCAAUGAUAUUUUGUCACAGCCCUAGAAUUUUCUUGUCAUUAGUUGCAUUAAGGCAUUCAUGUCAUCAUGUUAAAUUUCUCAGAAAGUUGAAAUGGGGAUGACAAACCCUAGCACCAAAAAUUAAAUCAAAUAGGGUCAGCCAUAAGCCUUUUCAAUAAACCCAAAAUGCCUUUAAAAAAUGUUCAUCAUUUUUAGAAAGGUUAAAACCUCUGAUAAAAAUGAUGCACAUGUUUCAAGGUCAUUCAUGAAUUUUUGAAUUAAAUCAUAUCAUAUUUGAAUUUGGGCAUUUAAACACUAUAAAUAAUUUAAAUGCUCAAAAUGCUGAAUUUAAAUGUGGACCACUGGAAUAAUCCAUAGAGUGUCCACAAAUUAUUGCAGCAUUUUACAAAAUGCUUUAGUAUUUUUACUAAAGCCAAAACAGCAGCAGAAAAAUAGAAAACAGAAACAAAUAAAAAAGGAAAGCAGAGAGAGAAGCCCACCUGGACCUUACCUGGCGGCCCAAGUGGCCGGCCCAGCCCACCUGGCCCCCUCCCCUGUCGUCUUCCUCCUUUGCCAGGAGGAUGAGCGCGUGGCCGCGGCGCGCUGGCACGCGCCUCGCCAGCUCCUGCUCGCCGUCGAGGGCCUGAACGCCUCCACGAGUGCCACGCGACCUCCCCGACCCCCCUCUCACUUCUCCCUCGCUCUCUGGACCUCCCUUCCCCUCGCUCCUCUGAUUCCCCCCCAUGGCCGAGCAUGCCCGUCGCCGCCGCUCGCUGUUGCCACGGCCACUGGCCCUCCCUCGCCGAUCCAACAUGCUUGGGAGCUCCGCCAUGCCGUCCCCGUAUACCCCACCGAGCCACGUGAGCUGGGAAGCACCACAACACCCUCGACAUCGUCGUCUUCUACCUCGGGCCACCGAGAUCGCCGGCAAUGCCACGACACCGUCCGUGCUUCCCCAAGCCCACUUCGACGCCCCCUACAACCGCUGUGAGCUACCGCUUCGAACCCCUCUCUUCCCCGCCUCGAUUGCACCUUGUAGCCCUCGUUCUCACUGGAACCGAAGCUCGCCGCCGCCGCGCCAUGUUGUCGUCGUGGCUAUAGCCACUGGAGCUUCCACCUGAGUACACUACCGUGCUCAGAAUGACCCCACGAGACCGUAGCCACCAACAUCUCCUCCUCUCAUGCACCGCAACCCCAAACCCGCAACCCACCGUGCUCCGGCCGCCGCCGUUUUAGUCGCCGUCGUUGACUCCUUCCAUCCCCGCUCGAACCACGGCUACCCACGGAUGCGUCUCUCUCCCCUCUUUCAAAUGCGCCCUUCCGCGCGUCGAACGGUGGCCCGUAGAGCAAACCCGAAGCGGGCACCGCUGCGGUCUGUCGUCGCCGGCGGUUAAACCCCGGUGGCUGACGUGGCACCAUCAUUAGGGCCUAAGCACCCUAUUGAUUACCCCCCUGGAGUCAUUGACAACUGGGCCCCACGCGUUAAUUAACCCCGGAAUUUAUUCCCUGUUUAACUUAGACUAAUCCACCGGGCCCACAUGUCAGGUUGACUUUGCUGACGUGGCCUUUGACCGGUCCCACCUGUCAUCCACCCAAACCAGCCUGAGACACUGACGUAUGGGUCCCAUAGGUCAGGUUUGACCUGGCCGACCCAGUUGACCUGCUGACGUCACCCCUAUGUCAUGCUGACGCAGUAAAUGAUUUUCUGGAUUUUAAAACAAUUCAGGAAAUUCCAGAAAAUGACUUAAACUUCAAAAAAUCAUAGAAAUUAAACCAUAACACCAAAUGAAAUAAUUUAUAUAUGAAAAAUUAUCAGAAAAAUUCAAGGAAUCUGUUUAUGGCAUUUUCGUGCAUGUUAGAACAACUUAUGGCUGCUGUUUAGGCCAAUUCACAUAAAUAGAAUUUAAACUCUCACAUAUGGAAUUUGAAUUUGAACCUAGGGUUCAAACCAACUCCAUUUAACAUGUUGCUAGUUGCAUUAGCUCAAACCACAGCAUAUUGACAUGUCAUGAUCAUGCAUCAUAUUGUGCAUUGCAUUGAUUGUGUUUCUUUCUCUGUUGCGGGUAUUUGUCCCCACUCGAUAGACGUUGUACCGACACUGUGAUCGUGACACUGAUGAAGACCCAAUGAUAUCUUCAGAAGUGCCAGGCAAGCAAAACCCCCUUGUUCAUUCCGAUACAAUCCCACUCUCUCGCUCCGGCUCUCAUUUACUGCAUUAGGACAACAACGAUUCAUCUGUUACUUGUUGCGGUAGUUGAACCCCUUAUCCUCUGCAUGACCUGUCAUUGCCACAGUAAAUAGAUGAAACCCACUAGCAUGAGUAGGAGUUGUUUGAGCCCUGAUGUGCCUACUCAUUCAUGCUUGUUUGUCAUGCCUGCUAUUGCAUAGAGUUGUGUCGGGUCAGAUUCAUCGGGGAUGAAUCGGAGGUGUGUGAACAUGUCCUACUGUGUGUGAGCUAAGAGUGUGAACACGAUUUGGUAAAGGUAGCAGUGAGAGACCAUGUAGGAGUACAUGGUGGGUUGUCUCAUUGCAGCCGUCCUCAGGAACUGAGUUCUGUGUCUGUGAUCCAUGAACAGCUACUACCACUCAUUGGGAUCCUUAGUUGACCCUCUCGGCUUCUUAAUCACCCUAGUACUCUGGUGUUUGUAGGUUAUGUGUUGGCGGCCGUGCGUAGCGCUGACCCUAGGGGUGGGCUAUGUUGCGGUAGAUACACCGUGGCACGGUGUACCAGGCGCCCGUUUGGUGUCUCGGGAACCCUGUUCACAUCAUUCGGGGCCGUAUGUGGAAACCUCGGCCGGACUCCCUGCGGAUGGAACCUGGAUAGGCGAUAAACCUGGACUAGAGACUUAAGUGUUUAGGUAGGCCGUGGCCGACACCCUCGUUGGGCUUCCGCUUGAAGGUUGUCGAGUACAUGUCGAGUAAACGACGGUAAGUGGUGGGAGCGUGUGUGAAGAAGUACACCCCUGCAGGGUUAUCAUUAUCUUUUCGAAUAGCCGGAUUCCUCAGAUAUGGAAACUUGGACCCCUUGCAUAGUUCAUAGAUAAGUGAAAGUGGUUACUCUAAAACUCGCAAGAUAAGUGUGAGUGCUAUGGAUGGCCUUCUCGUAGGGAGACGAGAGCGGAUCCAUAGUGGUGUAUUGAAUGGUGAAUAUGUGGACUCGUGUGCGCCACCUCAAAAGAGUUGCUUGUAGUCGUAGUUCAGGUUAGCCAAUGGGUCAAAGCUGGCUUGCUGCAGUUAAACUCCACCACCCCCUUUGUUGAUACCAACGCAUAUGUAGAUAGUUCUGAUGUAAGUCUUGCUGGGUACAUUUGUACUCACGUUUGCUUAUUUUAUGUUUUGCAGAGAGACUUCAGUCUCGCUAGUAGUUCCGCUUGGACUUCGACGUUUAGCUUGUUACCUCAGCUACGAUCUUGUACCCUUGGGAGGGUCUGGUAUAUAGUCAGGCUCCUCAGCCUUCUUCAUUUUUAGUUGUCUGUACUCAGACAAGUUAAGCUUCCGCAUGUGCUUUGACUUGUAUGCUCUGGAUGUUGGGUCAUGAGACCCAUGUUUGUAAUAUCUUGCUCCUCAAAGCCUAGUGAAUAAAUACCUGAGUCGUAGAGUUAUGUUGUGAUGCCAUGUUGUAUUUACACAUAUCGAGCAUAUUGUGUGUAUGAUUGAAAUGCUUGGUAUGUGUGGGAUCCGACAAUCUAGUUGUUUAUCCUUGGCAGCCUCUCUUAUGGGGAAAUGUAGUCUUGUGCUUCCAUGAGCCAUAGUAGUCUGCUACAGCCCGGUUCACCGGAGUCCUGCUAGCCCAGCACUACUGCUCAGGACACUUGACUGACCGGCAUGUGUUUCACUUCGUUCCUGUGUCUGUCCCUUCGGGGAAAUGUCACGCGGUGACAUCCGGAGUCCUGCCUAGCCUGCUACAGCCCGGGUUCCCGGAGUCCUGUUAGCCCAGUGCUAUAGCCCGGAUUCACACGCUGCUGACCGACAUGCUCGAUGUGAUUCAUGUAUGCCUGUCCCCAUAGGUUAGUGCCGCUUUGGGUUCAUGACUAGUCAUGUCGGCCCGGGUUCUCUGUCAUAUGGAUGCUAGCGACACUAUCAUAUACGUGAGCCAAAAGGUGUAAACAGUCCCGGGCCAUGGUAAGGCGACAUCCGUGGGAAUACCGUGCGUGAGGCCGCAAAGUGAUAUGAGGUGUUACCGGCUAGAUCAAUGUGACUUAGAAUCGGGGUCCUGACAGCUUUGGUAUCAGAGCCUGACUGCCUGUAGGAUUACCAAGCCAAGCUAGUCGAAGUCAUGUCUAGAAAUGCUUUAGUUAUGUAAGCGAAUUGAUUGUGGAUGGGAACGUAAGGCUCUUUUACUCCUUAUCCUCAUGACCUUCUGAUCUGAGUCAUCUUAUGUUUUCUACAGGGUUAAGAACUAGGCUUCUCUUCUAUCUCUCAGGAUGACGUGUUACUAAACCGUAGUUUCCUAGGAUUGUUGUGUUCAAACCUCAGUUCAAUUCCUACUACUUCCAUAUGUUCCUAGUUGGUCUCAGAACUUCGAUAUUGUGAUGUUGAGUGGUUAUGCCACCAUUUUUGCAGGAUGUCUCAAAUCUUUUGAGCAUUUACAGCCGUUAUGCUGUCCGAGUCAUCCCAGGUUUCUAAAUAGUUCGAUGCAUUUGCAACUCCCUUCUUCCUGUUCUCGAUGUUCCUUUGGGCCAGAUUAAGCACACUAAUCGGUCUGUUGAGGUACUCCGUUGCCUUGACAUGUAUGUUGGAGUUAGUAUUAUGACCCUAGGUGUCUUCGAGAACCACUCAGUGAUCUAGCAAUGUUUCUGUUCCCAGUGUGAUGAUUCUGGCCACCAUUCUCGAAAACAUCCCAUGAUGCCAUUUAGUAGUAGAUAUUCUACUUCUGGGUUCUUAAGCCCGAGAUUCACCCUACUUGCUUCAUGUUGAUAGUGUUGCUAGUUCCUUUAGGAUAUUAGUAACCUUUGCGAUAGUCCUCGAGGUCCAUGGUAUUUCCUUCUUCCAAAUACCAUGAACCAUUAAGGCAGACGUUCUUUGAACCAAAAGAUCACCAUUAGAGUACUCCUGAGGAGUUCUCCAUUCAUAAUUGUGAUUCUGCCAGCUCUACCUUUCUGCAUGGGUUAUCCGGAAGAAACCUGUUGAACUUGGUUCGACAUACUAAUCUAUGCAUCCACAACUCAGAAAAUUAUAUGUUCCCUUGAGUUGUCCCUCUUUAGUUGUUUUCUGACUCUCGUCUAUCAACUGAUAGUCGGGAGUAAUUGUGCGAUCGUGUUCAUCGAUGCCUGCUAUUCUUGUGGUCCGUCAAGCCAUUCUAUUCCAGAAUGACUAGGAGAAACAAACUCCAGUACCUUAUCCAUAUCUAGGAUUGGGUCAAAGUAGUUGUAUUCCAUGGAUCAAAAUGCCAACCCAGCUUUUGCUCUGUUCUACCUUGGAGUGUUACCAUAUUUAUGUCAAGAAUGUCAUGAGAAUUGCACCACCUCUUAUGAAUUCUUGACGCAAUGAUACUUAUCGCCAUCAUUAUUCAUUCUUCGGUUCCAUGUUGUUGUAACCGGAAUGCCGACAAGUGAACUGUGAUGUGUGAAAUCAAUACUCCUAGCAACCCCGUUGCUUGGUAGUUAAUGGACAAUAAACUCAUUCUUAGCGUGUCGGUUAUUGAAUCAUCAUUCUAAGAUUGAUCGUGCUACCUAGUCCUUAUUUCCGGAGCACUAUUCAAUCAAUGAGUUAGGAUUGUGUCAAACCCUUGCUCUAUUGGUCACAUCGUCUUGCCUCGCAAAGCAAGAUUGUCCUCGAGCUUAAUAACAUAUCGGUGGGUUGUGAUUUUCCAAAUAUCUUCUUGGAAGUAUCACCAGGUUGUCACCUGAUCGCUAUGUUGAGUUCGUGAUCAAGUUGGUUUCUUGUAGCCACCCUUUUCUCCAAGAAUCUGUGUUGGAUACCCCUGAGCUAGUUGGUUAAGCUUAACAACAACUUGGAGAGUUGGAAGAUAAAAGCUUGUCUUGCUUAGUUCGUGUUAAGGGAUAUCUUUUGUGUGUGUGUGUGUGUUGAUGAAAGAUGAUAUCUUCAUCGAUUGGUCCUCGUGAUCAGUUAUUGGAUCUAUUGUCUUGUCCAAACUUUGAUUUGAGUGUGGGCUAUCCUCAAAUCAAAUCAGAACCAACGAUGUUCGUAAUGUUGUCCUACUCGAGGUUGAUUCCUCGGGCAUACACCAUUACAUCCUUUGUUCUGACCAAUGCCAUCACCAUGUUCACUUAAUUGUGGAAUUCCAUCUAUAUGGAAGCCUGGAUGGUUGUUUGUUGAGCCCAUUGACAACAUUCUCAUCUUGUCCAUGAUUCAUGUUGAACAUCUAAGUUAGUGUUGGAAACUUUGAAAGCAUUUCUUCAUGAAGCAUAUGUUUGGAUGAAAGAAGUGACUACCUCUGAUUCACGUGCAUUUGGUGAAAGUUGCCGUCGUGGAUUCAAGAAAGCUUGUUCCACUUCCUUGGAAUCAUCCCAAGUUAGUCAUGCAUGUGCGAAGUAUUCUAUGGUUUGAUAGGCUCGCUACCUCCAGUCCAUAUGUGUCCCUAGCACACCAAGCCACUGACUGAUUUGUUCUAGGAGAAGGAGUUAAGUGCUAAUCCAUGGUAAUGCACAAGACUUCGAUAUCCUCGAUGAUGGUUCCCAACCUGAACUCAGUAGUGUUUUAUCAUAAGACUACUAUCUGGUCAUGCUUGUAUGGGACAGCGUGUUCACAUGUGUUUGGCCGAACCAGCUCAUGUUUUGGAGCUUGCUACCGUAGUUCAUUUCCCCGAGAUUCUCGCAACAUCAUCUCGUCGAUUUGUGUUGCAAACUUUAUUUUUCUUUCUAGACUUGAUGAGUUUGGAAUAUCCUGACACCAACCAGAUCUGAAUCUCAGGCAGAUAUGAUGGUUGGAAUACACUCCAAGAACUAUAACAUUGGUCUCUCUGUAACUGGUAAAGUGGAUGUCGUGGCCAACACACCCAGCCAGAAGACCUAUUAUUGUAGUAUCCUGAUUGAGGAAGUUGGCCACCUCCCCAUAAGGAUUUCAUAGGAUUUACUCCAGAAGUUGUUCCUUAUGGAUCUAUUGUAUUCCGAAGUCCGACCACUACUUGAUGGCUAUGCUGAUGCUUUAAAGCAUGACCUUGGUAACCAGUACAUCAAGGAGAACAUUAGAAGAGGAGUGCUAAAUGUCUCUCGAUCGAUCAUCCAGAUUUCAUUCCCUUGGCCUCUCUAAGGUGAAAUCUGAGAAAGGGUUGUCUUUCUAUGCAUCUGCAUUGUCCAUCACUAUUCGUCAAGGUAGUAAGAUGUGUUGCCGGGAUCCUCGACUCGGAUGUUGGUAGAAACUUGAUGAAUAUGGAAAUGCUCAAGUUCUUGAGAGCACGCGCAAGCAAAAUCAUCCCUUGCGUUGUCUUCCACAAGGUAGUUCACAUCAUCCAUUUUAGCCCGAGUGUGUCGCUCUCCCGAACUCCGUCAAACGAUCGCUCGUAAAUUGCCUUAGGCUGGUAUAGAGAGUUCCAAUGAUCUCUGUAUCAAAAGUAAUUCUUUUUGCCACUUAAGGGAUAAUUCCACGAGUCACCUUCUUUAAGGUAUCACGUUACGAAAUCAUGGCAAUUAUCUCCUUGCUACUUGAAAUUCAUGCACCAUCUUAGUCAAGUGUGGAGUUGUAACCUGCCAAAUUGAAACCUCGUCAUUUGUUUCUUUCCUCCCCUCUCGAUAUGUGUUUUGUGCCUCAGCUCGAGAGAUGUUUCAAUGUCUCACUCCGUGAGUUGAUCCUGAGUUGUUCGACCUUCGAUAAGAUCGAUCCCUCUCGAGUUUUCCUUCUCCUCUCAUUGUCAUGUUAGUUGGAGUUCUCGGGGCAAGACACUGAGACAAAGAUGGUGAUUGAAUCAACGUUCAUUUGAAGUGCAACCUGGAUCGUGAAGAUUGGGUUAAGUUUGCGUCCCCCUUCAUCUUACCCUAUGCUUGAAUCUCGGGACGAGAUUCUUGUUUAGUAGGGGUGAGUUGUCACAGCCCUAGAAUUUGCUUGUCAUUAGUUGCAUUAAGGCAUUCAUGUCAUCAUGUUAAAUUUCUCAGAAAGUUGAAAUGGGGAUGACAAACCCUAGCACCAAAAAUUAAAUCAAAUAGGGUCAGCCAUAAGCCUUUUCAAUAAACCCAAAAUGCCUUUAAAAAAUGUUCAUCAUUUUUAGAAAAGGUUAAAACCUCUGACAAAAAUGAUGCACAUGUUUCAAGGUCAUUCAUGAAUUUUUGAAUUAAAUCAUAUCAUAUUUGAAUUUAGGCAUUUAAACACUAUAAAUAAUUUAAAUGCUCAAAUAAUGUUGAAUUUAAAUGUGGACCACUGGAAUAAUCCAUAGAGUGUCCACAAAUUAUUGCAGCAUUUUACAAAAUGCUUUAGUAUUUUUACUAAAGCCAAAACAGCAGCAGAAAAAUAGAAAACUGAAACAAAUAAAAAAGGAAAGCAGAGAGAGAGAAGCCCACCUGGACCUUACCUGGCGGCCCAAGUGGCCGGCCCGGCCCACCUGGCCCCCUCCCCUGUCGUCUUCCUCCUUUGCCAGGAGGAUGAGCGCGUGGCCGCGGCGCGCUGGCACGCGCCUCGCCAGCUCCUGCUUGCCGUCGAGGGCCUGGACGCCUCCACGAGUGCCAUGCCACCUCCCCGACCCCCCUCUCACUUCUCCCUAUCUCUCUGGACCUCCCUCCCCCUCGCUCCUCUGAUUCCCCCCCAUGGCCGAGCAUGCCCGUCGCCGCCGCUCGCUAUUGCCAUGGCCACUAGCCCUCCCUCGCCCAUCCAACGUGCUCGGGAGCUCCGCCACGCCGCCCCGUAUACCUCACCGAGCCACGUGAUCUGGGAAGCACCGCAACGCCCUCGACAUCGUCGUCUUCUACCUCGGGCCACCGAGAUCACUGGCAAUGCCACGACACCGUCCGUGCUUCCCCGAGCCCACUUCGACGCCCCCUACAACCGCUGUGAGCUACCACUUCGAACCCCUCUCUUCCCCGCCUCGAUUGCACCUUGUAGCCCUUGUUCUCACCGGAGCCGAAGCUCGCCACCGCCGCGCCAUGUUGCCGUCGUGGCUAUAGCCACUGGAGCUUCCACCUGAGUACACUACCGUGCUCAGAAUGACCCCACGAGACCGUAGCCACCAACAUCUCCUCCUCUCGUGCACCGCAACCCCAAACCCGCAACCCACCGUGCUCCGACUGCCGCCGUUUUAGUCGCUGUCGUUGACUCCUUCCAUCCCCGCUCGAACCACGGCUACCCACGGAUGCGUCUCUCUCCCCUCUUUCAAAUGCGCCCUUCCGCGCGUCGAACGGUGGCCCGUAGAGCAAAUCCGAAGCGGGCACCGCCGCGGUCUGUCGUCGCCGGCAGUUAAAUGCCAGUGGCUGAUGUGGCACCAUCAUUAGGGCCUAAGCACCCUACUGAUUACCCCCCUGGAGUCAUUGACAACUGGGCCCCACGUGUUAAUUAACCCCGGAAUUUAUUCCCUGUUUAACUUAGACUAAUCCACCGGGCCCACAUGUCAGGUUGACUUUGCUGACAUGGCCUUUGACCGGUCCCACCUGUCAUCCACCCAAACCAGCCUGAGACACUGACGUAUGGGUCCCACAGGUCAGGUUUGACCUGGCCGACCUAGUUGACCUGCUGAUGUCACCCCUAUGUCAUGCUGACGCAGUAAAUGAUUUUCUGGAUUUUAAAACAAUUCAGGAAAUUCCAGAAAAUGACUUAAACUUCAAAACAUCAUAGAAAUUAAACCAUAACUCCAAAUGGAAUAAUUUAUAUAUGAAAAAUUAUCAGAAAAAUUCAAGGAAUCUGUUUAUGGCAUUUUCAUGCAUGUUAGAACAACUUAUGGCUGCUGUUUAGGCCAAUUCACAUAAAUAGAAUUUAAACUCUCACAUAUGGAAUUUGAAUUUGAACCUAGGGUUCAAACCAACUCCAUUUAACAUGUUGCUAGUUGCAUUAGCUCAAACCACAGCAUAUUGACAUGUCAUGAUCAUGCAUCAUAUUGUGCAUUGCAUUGAUUGUGUUUCUUUCUCUGUUGCGGGUAUUUGUCCCCGCUCGAUAGACGUUGUACCGACGCUGUGAUCGUUGACACUGAUGAAGACCCAAUGAUAUCUUCAGAAGUGCCAGGCAAGCAAAACCCCCUUGUUCAUUCCGAUACAAUCCCACUCUCUCGCUCCGGCUCUCUUUUGCUGCAUUAGGACAACAAUGAUUCAUCUGUUACUUGCUGCGGUAGUUGAACCCCUUAUCCUCUGCAUGACCUGACAUUGCCACAGUAAAUAGAUGAAACCCACUAGCAUGAGUAGGAGUUGUUUGAGCCCUGAUGUGCCUACUCAUUCAUGCUUGUUUGUCAUGCCUGCUAUUGCAUAGAGUUGUGUCGGGUCUGAUUCAUCGGGGAUGAAUCAGAGGUGUGUGAACAUGUCCUACUAUGUGUGAGCUAAGUGUGUGAACACGAUUUGGUAAAGGUAGCGGUGAGAGGCCAUGUAGGAGUACAUGGUGGGUUGUCUCAUUGCAGCCGUCCUCAGGAACUGAGUUCUGUGUCUGUGAUCCAUGAACAGCUACUACCACUCAUUGGGAUCCUUAAUUGACCCUCUCGGCUUCUUAAUCACCCUAGUACUCUGUCCAGGAGUUGCAACUAGUUUCUGGUGUUUGUAGGUUAUGUGUUGGCGGCCGUGCGUAGCGCUGACCCUAGGGGUGGGCUAUGUUGCGGUAGAUACACCGUGGCACGGUGUACCAGGCGCCCGUUUGGUGUCUCGGGAACCCUGUUCACAUCGUUCGGGGCCGUAUGUGGAAACCUCGGCCAGACUCCCUGCGGAUGGAACCUGGAUAGGCGAUAAACCUGGACUAGAGACUUAAGUGUUUAGGUAGGCCGUGGCCGACACCCUCGUUGGGCUUCCGCUUGAAGGUUGCCGAGUACAUGUCGUGUAAACGACGGUAAGUGGUGGGAGCGUGUGUGAAGAAGUACACCCCUGCAGGGUUAUCAUUAUCUAUUCGAAUAGCUGGAUUCCUCGGAUAUGGAAACUUGGACCCCUUGCAUAGUUCAUAGAUAAGUGAAAGUGGUUACUCUAAAACUCGCAAGAUAAGUGUGAGUGCUAUGGAUGGCCUUCUCGUAGGGAGACGAGAGCGGAUCCAUAGUGGUGUAUUGAAUGGUGAAUAUGUGGACUCGUGUGCGCCACCUCAAAAGAGUUGCUUGUAGUCGUAGUUCAGGUUAGCCACUGGGUCAAAGCUGGCUUGCUGCAGUUAAACUCCACCACCCCCUUUGUUGAUACCGACGCAUAUGUAGAUAGUUCUGAUGUAAGUCUUGUUGGGUACAUUUGUACUCACGUUUGCUUAUUUUAUGUUUUGCAGAGAGACUUCAGUCUCGCUAGUAGUUCCGCUUGGACUUCGACGUUUAGCUUGUUACCUCAGCUACGAUCUUGUACCCUUGGGAGGGUCUGGUAUAUAGUCAGGCUCCUCAGCCUUCUUCAUUUUUAGUUGUCUGUACUCAGACAAGUUAAGCUUCCACAUGUGCUUUGACUUGUAUGCUCUGGAUGUUGGGUCAUGAGACCCAUGUUUGUAAUAUCUCGCUCCUCGGAGCCUAGUGAAUAAAUACUUGAGUCGUAGAGUUAUGUUGUGAUGCCAUGUUGUAUUUACACAUAUCGAGCAUAUUGUGUGUAUGAUUGAAAUGCUUGGUAUGUGUGGGAUCCGACAAUCUAGUUGUUUAUCCUUGGCAGCCUCUCUUAUGGGGAAAUGUAGUCUUGUGCUUCCAUGAGCCAUAGUAGUCUGCUACAGCCCGGUUCACCGGAGUCCUGCUAGCCCAGCACUACUGCUCAGGACACUUGACUGGCCGGCAUGUGUUUCACUUUGUUCAUGUGUCUGUCCCUUCGGGGAAAUGUCACGCGGUGACAUCCGGAGUCCUGCCUAGCCUGCUACAGCCCGGGUUCCCGGAGUCCUGUUAGCCCAGUGCUACAGCCCGGAUUCACACGCUGCUGACCAACAUGCUCGAUGAAGAACCGAUUCUGUAACAACCCCAAAGGCGAAUCUAUCUAAAUAAACCUAAAACUGUGAUUCAUGUAUGCCUGUCCCCAUAGGUUAGUGCCGCUUUGGGUUCACGACUAGUCAUGUCGGCCCGGGUUCUCUGUCAUAUGGAUGCUAGCGACACUAUCAUAUACGUGAGCCAAAAGGCACAAACGGUCCCGGGCCAUGGUAAGGCGACACCCGUGGGAAUACCGUGCGUGAGGCCGCAAAGUGAUAUGAGGUGUUACCGGCUAGAUCAAUGUGACUUGGAAUCGGGGUCCUGACAUAUUUCUAUUUCUGAUGUUGAAACACAAUCUGGUAAUGAACAUGAACCUAGUGAUAAUGUUAAUGAUGAUGUUCAUGUUGAUGCUCAACCUAGCAAUAACAAUGAUGUAGAGAUUGAACCUGCUGUUGAUCUUGAUAAUCCACAAUCAAAGAAUCAACGUUAUGAUAAGAGAGACUUUGUUGCUAGGUAGCACGGUAAAGAAAGAGAACCAUGGGUUCAGAAACCCAUGCCUUUUCCUCCUAAACCAUCCAAGAAAAAGGAUGGUGAGGAUUUUGAGCGCUUUGUUGAAAUGAUUAGACCUAUCUUUUUGCGUAUGCAUUUGACUGAUAUGCUUAAAAUGAAUCCUUAUGGUAAGUAUAUGAAAGAUAUUGUUACAAAUAAAAGAAAGAUAUCGGAGGCUGAAAUUUCCACCAUGCUUGCCAAUUAUACUUUUAAAGGUGGAAUACCUAAGAAACUAGGAGAUCCAGGAGUACCAACUAUACCAUGCUCCAUUAAAAGAAACUAUGUUAAAAAUGCUUUAUGUGAUCUUGGAGCCGGUGUUAGUGUUAUGCCUCUCUCUUUAUAUCAUAGACUUGAUUUGCAUAAGUUGACACCUACUGAAAUAUCUUUGCAAAUGGACGAUAAAUCAACUUUUAUACCUGUCGGAAUUUGUGAGGAUGUGCCCAUUGUGGUUGCAAACGUCAUUAUUUUAACGGACUUUGUUAUUCUUGAUAUUCCUGAGGAAGAUAGUAUGUCCAUUAUCCUUGGUAGACCCUUUUUUAAUACUGUAGGGGCUGUAUUGAUUGCAACAAAGGCAAUGUCACUUUUCAUUAAUGGUAAUGAGCAUAUGCUACACUAUCCGAGGAAACAACCUCAAGUCCAUAGUAUCAAUUCUAUUGGAAAAAAUUCAAUGAUUACUAUUGGAGGUUUUGAAUUCCCUCUUCCUACUGUCAAGAAGAAAUAUUAUAUUCUUCUUGUUGGGGACAUGCACAUCCCCGUUGAGGUAACCUAGUGUUAUUCGAAAAUUCUCCGGUUUCAUGUUAUUCGGAAAGGGUUUGUUAACAAGACUUGAUCAACCUUGUUAGUGGAUUCCUUUUGAUGAGCAUGAGAUGGAUGAAGUUAGAAAGCACAAUUUUCUGUACCCUCCUUUUACUUUCUGUUAUUUAGAUUAAAUAAAGCAAAAAUAGUAUUUUCUGUCUGUUUUCUGAAUUAUCCUUGCAAUAAAAAUACCCCGAAAAUACAAGUUCUCUGAAUGUCCUGAAAAUGAAAUAUGAUUUUUUGUAGAAUAUUUAAGAAUUACUCGCACUGAGAACACACCAGGGGGCCCACCAUUUGGCCACGAGGAUGUAGGGCGCGCCCCCUGCCUUGUGGACCCCACAUGGACCCCUCCACUUAUUCCAGCACCCACUCACUUCGUCUUCCUCCAGAAAAAUCCUCCCAUAGCUCAUACCCAUGUUCUAGCUCAUCAUGCUGCCAUUUUCGAUCUCCUUGCUCAAAGCUCCAUUCACAAAACUGUUUGGGGAGAUUGUUCUUUGGUAUGUGACUCAUCUAAUGGCCCAAUUAGUUUUUGUUCUAGUGCUUUAUUUAUUGCAAAUUUUUGCUGCUAAGGUGACCCUGUUCUUGAGCUUUCAUGUCAAAUUUAUAUGGUCCAAAAUAGUGUUAAUGCAUGAUAUAGCCUCUAGGCACUUGUGGGAGUAGUUGCUAUCAAUUUUGUUGAGUUUGGUUCACUUUUAUUUCGAGUCGCUAAAAUUUCAGAAAUUUUCAGAGGGAGAAAAUGUUGAAGAGAUUGUUGAGAGGCUAUUCGAGCCGAAGCUCGAAGGAUAAGCAGAAUGAGGAGAAUAAAAAGCCCAAAUGCAUUCUUCCUCGCACUGUGGAGGUUCGGCCGUGCGAAUGGCCUUGUGAUGAGUUCUUGAGAGCCGCUAGAAUUCAUGAUGACUUUUAUUGCUUGGCUGAGAAUGCAGGCCUCACCAACUUCCUCCACGACCAGCGCGAACAGUAUCUCCUACUCACUAAUACUUUCGUGCAAAUUUUUUAUUUCCAUGCUAAGAAAUCACCACCUUCAGUGGAGUUUCACUUAUAUGAUGAGGUUAAGGAGAUGUCACUCCAUGAUUUUUGUCGGGUCUGCAAGAUACCCUUUGAGGGCAGCAUCGAGGAACCACAUCGUAGUGAUGUGGAUGGGUUUAUUGAUAGAAUUGUUAUAGGAGAAACUAGGAAAGUUUUCGAUGCAAGAAUUACUAGUAUACAUUUUCCUGUUCUAUGCUACUUUGCGAUAUUUGCUAGUAGAUGCUUAAUUGGUCGUGGUAACAGUGGAAAUCUUAGUGCUCCUGAUAUUGUCAUUUUGCGUCAUGCUUUGUUUCGUGAUACAACUUUCAGCUUAGGCACCAUUGUUGCUAAACGAUUAAGUCUGAACCGUAUAAAGGGCCCCAUCUUCGGAGGCAUCUUUGCCUCACGCCUUGCUGAACACUUUGAGAUACCUAUUAGGCAUUAUGAGAAAGAGGAAAAGUUGCUGCCCCUGUUUUUCUAGAUUAUAAGAGUGUGGUAGCACAUGAUUUUAUUGUUAAAAAUAAGAAGAAGAUGCUUAAGUAUAAUUUGAUAUUUGAUAAAACUCACUGUGAUAUUAUUACCUUGCCUGCACCCUCUUUGUUUAACAUACUUUCAGGCACAUACCUCAUCUUACCCGAGGCCAUAUAUGCAUACUAGAGGCUGACACAAGUCCCAGAGCCUGAGCCUGAGCCACCACUUGACCCUUAUCGACAGUCGGUGUAUCAGUGGGAUCCGGAGGAGAUCGCCAACCAGUGGCAUCCUCAGGACCCUCCUCAAUACACCGGAGAGAGUAGCUUCGAUCCGUGGGCAUAGACCAACUUAGGCCAAAAGCCUAAGCUUGGGGGAGUACGUAUUUCUCACCGACAUUACAUUCAUGUUCACACACUCAUGCCAGUUGUCGGUGCUCAUACUUUUUCAUUGUACUAUCCAUGCUAGUUUAUUUUUCUUGCUAAGCCUUCUUCUUGUGUGUCUGGAAAACCUUAAGGAAAACCAAAAAAAUAUUAGUUGUAGCUUUUAGCUAGCUUACUUUCCAUGCAUGUAGUAGUAAUUAAAAGAAAACCCAAAAAGAUUUGUCGUUCUUCUUUUGCUUGUUGGGAGCUUUCCCGUGUAAAUGGUUUUAUUUCUUUUCUUAUUAUUGGGGGGUCAAGAGGAGAAUACCAUGAUGCAAAUGUUGAGCGGCUCUCAUAUGCAUUAUUAUUGAUUUAACCAAGAGCCCAUAUUACCUUGUCUUCUCCCUUGUAUUAAAUGCUUGCAGAUUCCAGCUUAGUCCAAUGCACGUGCACUAUUAUUAUUAUCCACACUGUUCGGUCGUGCGAGUGAAAGGCAAUAAUGACGAUAUAUGAUGGACCGAUUGAGAUGAGAUAAGCUGGUAUGAACUCGACCUAUCUUGUUUUUGUAAAUAUGAUUAGUUCAUCGUUCUUGAUUCAGCCUAUUAUGAAUGAAACAUGUUUGCAAUGACAAUUAGAGAUUAUAGUUGCCCAUGCCAUGCUUAAUUAGCUAGGAGUUUAUAAUGGUUUACCUUGCGUGCCAACAUGCUAUUAAAAUGAUUGCGAUGUGGUAUGAUAGGGUGGUAUCCUCCUUUGAACGAUUCGAGUGGCUUGACUUGGGACAUGUUCACGCAUGUAGUUGAAACAAAAUCAACAUAGCCUCCACGAUAUUUAUGUUCAUGGUGAUUUAUAUCCUACUCAUGCUUGCACUCAUUGUUGAUUAAUCUUAAUGCAUGUUCAUGACUGUUGUCGCUCUCUAGUUGGUCGCUUCCCAGUCUCUUUCUAGCCUUCACUUGUACUAAGCGGGAAUACUGCUUGUGCAUCCACUUCCAUAAACCCCAAAGUUAUUCCACAUGAGCCCACCAUACCUUCCUAUAUACGGUAUUUACUUGUCGUUCCAAGUAAAUUUGUAUGUGCCAAACUCUAAACCUUCAAAUGAAAUUCUGUUUUGUAUGCUCGAAUAGCACAUGUAUCAACUAGGGUUGUCUAUAUCUUCCAUGCUAGGUGGGUUAUUCUCAUGACGAGUUGACUCCGCUCAUCACUCACGAGAAAAUGGCUGGUAACCGGGAUGCCUAGUCCCAUGCUUAAAUCAAAAUAAUUGCAAACAAAACUCCCCCAGGAUUGUUGUUAGUUGGAGGCACCCGUUGUUUCAAACAAGCCAUGGAUUGAUGUUUGUUGGUGGUGGGGGAGUAUAAACUUUACCGUUCUGUUUGGGAACCGCCUAUAAUGUGUGUAGCAUGGAAGAUAUCGAGAUCUCCUGGUUGUUAUGUUGAUAAUGAAAGUAUACCACACAAAAUAUUAUUUAUCUCUGUUUCAAAACUCGAGCUCUGGCACCUUUGCAAAUCCCUACUUCCCUCUGCGAAGGGCCUAUCUACUUACUUUUAUGUUGAGCCAUCAUCCUCUUAUUAAAAAGCACCAGUUGGAGAGCACCGCUGUCAUUCACAUGCAUUGCUAUUAAUUUACAUUGAGUAUGACUGUGACUGGAUCUCUUUUACCAUGAAUUACAAUGUCUAGUCAGUCCUUGCUCUUCAGGGGUGCUCUGCAUUUAUGUUUUGCGGUCUCAGAAAGGGCUAGCGAGAUACCAUCUUGUUAUAUCAUGUUAUGAUUGUUUUGAGAAAGUGUUUUCAUCCGAGAUUUAGUAUUAUUGCUCGCUAGUUGAUUAUGCCAUUGAUGUGAGUAAACAUGAGACCUAAAUGUUAUUGUGAAUAUGGUUAGUUCAUAAUCUUUGCUGAAAACUUGAAUGUUGGCUUCACAUAUUUGCAACAACAAGAUCAAAUAGAGUUUGUAAAAGUUUUUCUUUACCACUUUCAGUUUGUCAACUGAAUUGCUUGAGGAUAAGCAAAGAUUUAAGCUUGGGGGAGUUGAUACGUCUCCAACGUAUCUACUUUUCCAAACACCUUUACCCUUGUUUUGGACUCUAACUUGCAUGAUUUGAAUGGAACUAACCCGGACUGAUGUUGUUUUCAGCAGAAUUGCCAUGGUGUUAUUUUUGUGCAGAAAUAAAAGUUCUUGGAAUGACCCGAAAAUCCACGGAGAUACAUUUUGGAAUUAAUAAAAAAUAUAGGCGAAAGAAUCGGCAUUAGGGGGCCCACACCCUGUCCAUGAGGGUGCAGGGCGGGCCCCCCCUAGGGCGCGCCCCCUGCCUCGUGGGCCCCCUGAGACUCCACCGAUGUCAACUCCAACUCUAUAUAUUCAUGUUCGGGAAGGAAAAAAUCAGAAAGAAGGAUUCAUUGCAUUCUACGAUACGGAGCCUCCGCCAAGCCCUAAUCUUCGUUGGGAGGGCUGAUCUGGAGUCCAUUCAGGGCUCCGGAGAGGGGAAUCCGUCGCCAUCAUCGCAAUCGUCAUCAUCAACCUUCCUCCAUCACAAAUUUCAUGAUGCUCACUGACGUGCGUGAGUAAUCCCAUCAUAGGCUUGCUGGACGGUGAUGGGUUGGAUGACAUUUACCAUGUAAUCGAGUUAGUUUUGUUAGGGUUUGAUCCCUAGUAUCCAUUAUGUUCUAAGAUUGAUGUUGAUAUGACUUUGCUAUGCUUAAUGCUUGUCACUAGGGCUCGAGUGCCAUGAUUUUAGAUCUGAACCUAUUAUGUUUUCAUGAAUAUAUGUGAGUUCUUGAUCUUAUCUUGCAAGUCAAUAGUCACCUACUAUGUGUUAUGAUCCGGCAACCCCGAAGUGACAAUAAUCGGGACCACUUCCGGUGAUGACCGUAGUUUGAGGAGUUCAUGUAUUCACUAAGUGUUAAUGCUUUGGUCCGGUACUCUAUUAAAAGGAGGCCUUAAUAUCCCUUAGUUUCCAAUAGGACCCCGCUACCAUGGGAGGGUAGGACAAAAGAUGUCAUGCAAGUUCUUUUCCAUAAGCACGUAUGACUAUAUUCGGAAUACAUGCCUACAUUACAUUGAUGAACUAGAGCUAGUUCUGUGUCACCCUAUGUUAUAACUGUUGCAUGAGGAAUCGCAUUCGACAUAAUUAUCCAUCAUUGAUCCAAUGCCUACGUGCUUUUCACAUAUUGAUCUUUGCUUAGUUACUUUUUCGUUGCCACUGUUACGAUUGCCACAAAACUUCUACUGUUACUUUUGCCACCAUUACCGUUACUUCCAUACUACUUUCCUGCAGAUAUUAAGUCUUUCAAGUGUGGUUGAAUUGGCAACUCAACUGCUAAUACUUGAUAAUAUUCUUUGGCUCCCCUUGUGUCCAAUCAAUAAAUUUGUGUUGAAUACUCUACCCUCGAAAACUGUUGUGAUCCUCUAUACUUGUGGGUUAUCAGUAACUUGAGGAUUAUCCUCAUUGCUACACAGAAGAAUUAUGUCAUGGAUGCACCACUAGGUGACAGACCAGCUGCAAGAGCAAAUGCAGAUGUUAUGAACGUCUGGCAGGCUCGAUCUGAUAACUACUCUAUAGUGCAGUGUGACAUGCUUUACGACUUAGAACCGGGACUUCAAAGACGUUUUGAACGUCAUGGAGCAUAUGAGAUGCUCCAAGAGUUGAAGUUAAUAUUUCAAGCAAAUGCCCGAGUUGAGAGAUAUGAUGUCUCCAACAAGUUCUAUAGCUGCAAGAAGGAGGAGAACAGUUCUGUCAGUGAACACAUACUCAAAAUGUCUGGGUAUCAUAACCACUUGACUCAACUGGGAGUUGAACUUGCAAUUGAUAGUGUUAUUGACAAAGUUCUUCAAUCACUGACACCAAACUACAAAGGCUUCGUGAUGAACUAUAAUAUGCAAAGGAUGAAUAAAACGAUUCUUGAGCUCUUUGCAAUGCUUAAGGCCGCGGAGGUAGACAUCAAGAAGGAACAUCAAGUGUUGAUGGUUAAUAAGACCACUAGUUUCAAGAAAAGGGGCAAGGGAAAGAAAGGGAACUUCAAGAAUAAUGGAAAGCAAGUUGCCACUCCCAAGAAGAAACCCAAAGCUGGACCCAAGCCUGAAACUAAGUGCUUCUACUACAAAGGGAGUGGUCACUGGAAGUGGAACUGCCACAAAUACUUGGCAGAUAAGAAGGAUGGAAGGAUGGCAAAGUGAACAAAGGUAUAUUUGAUAUACAUGUUAUUGAUGUGUACCUAAUGCUCAUAGUAGCGAUUGGGUAUUUGAUACUAGUUCGAUUGGUCAUAUUUUUUAGUCAAAACAGGAGCUACGGAAUAAAUGAAGAUUGGCUAAGGAUGAGGUGACGGUGCGCGUCGGGAAUGGUUCCAAGGUCGAUGUGAUCGCCGUCGCACGCUACCUCUACAUCUACCUUCGGGAUUAGUUUUAGACCUCAGUAACUGUUAUUUGGUGCCAGCGUUGAGCAUGAACAUUAUAUCUGGACCUUGUUUAUUGCGAGACGGUUAUUCAUUUAAAUCGGAGAAUAAUGAUUGUUCUAUUUAUAUGAGUAAUAUCUUUUAUGGUCAUGCACCCUUGAUGAAUGGUCUAUUCUUGUUGAAUCUCGGUCGUAGUGAUACACAUAUUCAUAAUAUUGAUGCCAAAAGAUGCAAAGUUGAAUAAUGAUAGUGCAACAUAUUUGUGGCACUGCCGUUUAGGUCAUAUUGGUGUAAAGCGCAUGAAGAAAAUCCAUGCAGAUGGACUUUUGGAAUCACUACCUGCGAACCAUGCCUCAUGGGCAAGAUGACUAAAACUCUAUUCUUUGGAACAAUGGAGCAAGCUAAUGACUUAUUGGAAAUAAUACAUACCAAUGUAUGCGGUCCGGUGAGUGUUUAAGCACGCGGCAGGUAUCAUUAUUUUCUGACCUUCAUAGAUGAUUUGAGUAGGUAUGAGUAUAUCUACUUGAUGAAACACAAGUCUGAAACAUUUGAAAAGUUCAAAGAAUUUCAGAGUGAAGUGGAGAAUCUCAUAGCAAGAAAAUAAAGUUUCUACGAUCUGAUCGCGGAGGCGAAUAUUUGAGUUACGAGUUUGGCCUUCAUUUAAAACAAUGUGGAAUUGUUUCACGACUCACGUCACCUGGAACACCACAGCGUAAUGGUGUGUCCGAACGUCGUAACUGUACUUUAUUGGAUAUGGUGCGUUCUAUGAUGUCUCUUACCGAUUUACCACUAUCGUUUUGGGGUUAUGCAUUAGAGACAUGUGCAUUCACGUUAAAUAGGGCACCGUGUAAAUUCGUUGAGAUGACACCAUAUGAACUUUGGUUUGGCAAGAAACCUAAGCUGUUGUUUCUUAAAGUUUGGGGUUGUGACACUUAUGUCAAAAGGCUUCAGCCUGAUAAGCUCGGACCCAAAUCAAAAAAAUGCGUCUUCAUAGGAUACCCAAAGGAAACAAUUGGGUACACCUUCUACCAUAGAUCCGAAGGCAAGAUCUUUAUUGCCAAGAAUGGAACGUUUCUAGAGAAGGAGUUUCUCUCGAAAGAAGUGAGUGGGAGGAAAGUAGAACUGGAUGAGGUAGUUGUACCUACUCUAGAAUUGGAAAGUAUCACAUCAGAGAAAUCCAUUCCCGUGAUGCUACACCAACUAGAGAGGAAGCUAAUGAUGAUGAUCAUGAAACUUCAAAUCAAGUUACUACUAGACCUUGUAGGUCAAAUAGAGCAUGUUCCGCACCAGAGUGGUACGGUAAUCCUGUACCUAGAGGUCAUGUUAUUAGACCAUGGCGAACCUACGAACUAUGAAGAAGCUAUGAUGAGCCUAGAUUCCGAUAAAUGGCUUGAGGCCAUGAAAUCUGAGAUAUGAGAUAUGAUCCAUGUAUGAGAACAAAGUGUGGACUUUGGUGGACUUGCCCAAUGAUAGGCAAGCCAUUGAGAAUAAAUGGAUAUUCAAGAAGAAGACAAGCACUGAUGGUAAUGUCACCAUCUACAAAGCUCAAUUUGUCACAAAAGGUUUUCGACAAGUUCAAGGGAUUGACUACGAUGAGACCUUCUCACCGGUAGCAAUGCUUAAGUCAGUCCGAAUCAUAUUAGCAAUUACCGCAUUUUAUAAUUAUGAAAUCUAGCAAAUGGAUGUCAAAACUGCAUUCCUUAAUGGAUUUCUUAAAGAAGAGUUGUAUAUAAUGCAACCAGAAGGUUUUAUUGAUCCUAAAGGUGCUAACAAAGUGUGCAAGCUCCAGCGAUCCAUCUAUGGACUGGUGCAAGCAUCUCGGAGUUAGAAUAUAUGCUUUGAUGAGGUGAUCAAAGCAUAUGGUUUUAUGCAAACUUAUGGUAAAGCAUGUAUUUACAAGAAAGUGAGUGGGAUCUCUGUAGCAUUUCUAAUAUUAUAUGUGGAUGACCUAUUAUUGAUUGGAAAUGAUAUAGAACUUCUGGAUAGCAUAAAUGUAUACUUGAAUAAGAAUUUUUCAAUGAAAGACCUCGGUGAAGUUGCUUAUAUAUUGGGCAUCAAGAUCUAUAGGGAUAGAUUGAGACGCUUAAUAGGACUUUCACAAAGCACAUACCUUGAUAAAGUUUUGAAGUUCAAAAUGGAUGAGCCAAAGAAAGGGUUCUUGCCUGUGUUACAAGGUGUGAAAUUGAGUCAGACUCAAGGCCCGACCACUACAGAAGAUAGAGAGAAACUGAAAGUCAUUCCCACUGCCUCAGCCAUAGGUUCUAUCAUGUAUGCUAUGAUAUGUACCAGACCUGAUGUGUGCCUUGCCAUAAGUUUGGCAGGGAGGUACCAAAGUAAUCCAGGAGUGGAUCACUGGACAACGGUCAAGAACAUCCUGAAGUACCUGAAAAGGACCAAGGAUAUGUUUCUCGUUUAUGGAGGUGACGAAGAGCUCGUCGUAAAUGGUUACGUCGAUGCUAGCUUCGACACUAAUCCCGAUGACUCUAAGAUACAAACUGGAUACGUUUUUAUAUUGAAUGGUGGAGCUGUCAGCUGGUGCAGUUCCAAGCAGAGCAUCGUGGCGGGAUCUAUGUGUGAAGCGGAGUACAUAACUGCUUCAGAAGUAGCACAUGAAGGAGUCUGGAUGAAGGAGUUCAUAUCCGAUCUGGGUGUAAUAGCUAGUGCAUCGGGUCUAAUGAAAAUAUUUUAUGACAACACUGGAGCAAUUGCCUUGGUGAAGGAAUCCAGUUUUCAUAAGAGAACCAAACACAUCAAGAGACGCUUCAACUCCAUUCGUGAAAAGGUCAAGGAUGGAGACGUAGAAGUUUGCAAAAUACAUACAGAUCUGAAUGUGGAGACCCGUUGACUAAGCCUCUUCCGUGAGCAAAACAUGAUCAGCACCAAGACUCCCUGGGUGUUAGAUUCAUUACAAUGUAAUCUAGAUUAUUGACUCUAGUGCAAGUGGGAUACUGAAGGAAAUAUGCCCUAGAGGCAAUAAUAAAGUUGUUAUUUUAUAUUUCCUUAUUCAUGAUAAAGAUUUAUUAUUCAUGCUAGAAUUGUAUUGAUUAGAAACUUAAAUACAUGUGUCAAUACAUAAACGAAAUACCGUGUCCCUUGUAAGCCUCUACUAGACUAGCUCAUUGAUCAAAGAUGGUUAAGGGUGUGUUUGGUACAUGGCAUCAAGUGGAAUGGAACGGGUCCGACCCAUGAUUGGGCCUCAUUCUUGUAUUUGGUACACUACUAGAACCGGAACCCACUGGUUCCCACAAAGGGAAUAUCCGGUCCAGAUCCGGAACGCAGUCAUUCCUCCAAAUCGAAGGAACGACACGGAACGCUCCCUCGCCCUCUCUCUCGUGCACAAAUUGCAUCGCCUCUGCCUCUCUGUAUUGUGUCGCCGCCUGCUAUUCUUCCUCGAUCCGCGACGACGGCUGCUCCUCUGCACGAACUGUGUUUCCGGCUGCCCAUCUCCCGCGAUCCGCGCUGCCUACUGCUCCUCUCCCUCGUCCCCUCCUCUCUCAACUGUGGCACAGCGGACGAACUACUGCCUGGCGGCGGACGAGCAGAUGCGGCCUGCGGGGCGGCGGGCGGCCUUCUCCAAGCAAGCGGCCAUGCGAGUUGUUGGUCGCACGGCGACCAGCAACAAUCUGCAGCUACCAUUUGAGUCAAGUUCCGUCCAGCCACAACUGACCAGAUGGAUUCUUUGAUUUAGCACUCCAGUCCGUCAUGUUUGUUGUGAAUUUGUUUGUUGCAAGGUAGAGUACCAACAAUAGGUCAACUUCAUCUUUCUAACGUGUGUUAGACUGUAUAGUACAUUUUUGGCAAUAUGUUUUGCUACCUUAACAUGUGUUAACAUGUAGUAGAAAUCUAUAUGUGAGAUGUCACCAUUUCGUCUCACUAACCAAACAUCAAAAUGGAACCAUUCCAUUCUACCUAAUUGCCCAUACCAAACACAGUGACGGAACCGACCCGUUCUACUGGAAUGAAACCAUUACAUUCCAUUCCACCUCGUCCCCGAACCAAACACACCCUAAGGUUUCCUAACCAUGGACAUGUUUUGUCAUUUGAUAACAGGAUCACAUCAUUUGGAGAAUGAUGUGAUGGACAAGACCCAUCUGUUAGCUUAGCAUAUUGAUCGUUCAGUUUAUUGCUAUUGCUUUCUUAAUGUUAAAUACAUAUUCCUUCGACUAUGAGAUUAUGCAACUCCCAGAUACCGGACGAAUACCAUGUGUGCUAUCAAACAUCACAACGUAACUAGGUGAUCAUAAAGAUGCUCUGCAAGUAUCUCUGAAGGUGUUUGUUGAGUUGGCAUAUAUCAAGAUUAGGAUUUGUCACACCGAGUAUCGGAGAGAUAUCUUCGGGCCCUCUCGGUAAUACACAUCAUAAGAAGCCUUGCAAGCAUAGUGAAUAAAAAGUUAGUUGCUAGAUGAUGUAUUACAGAACGAGUAAAGAGACUUGCCGGUAACGAGAUUGAACUAGGUAUGAAGAUACCGACGAUCGAAUCUCGGGCAAGUAACAUACCGAUGGACAAAGGGAAUUACGUAUGUUCUCAUAAGGUUCGACCGAUAAAGAUCUUUGUAGAAUAUGUAGGAGCCAAUAUGGGCAUCCAGGUUCCGCUAUUGGUUAUUGACCGGAGAGGUGUCUCGAUCAUGUCUACAUAGUUCUCAAACCCGUAGGGUCCGCACGCUUAACGUUCGUUGACUAUAUAGUGUUAUAUGAGUUAUAUGAUUUGGUGACUGAAUGUUGUUCGGAGUCUCGGAUAAGAUCACAGCCAUGAUGAGGAGCUCCAGAAUGGUCCAAAGGUAAGGAUUGAUAUAUAGGACAAUGGUAUUCGGACACCAGAAGUGUUUCAGAGUAUAUCAGGUGGUCAUCGGAAUACCGGAGGGGGUACCGGACACUCCCGGGAGGGUAAUGGGACUAUUGGGCCAUUAGAGGGGAGCACGCCAGCCCACAAGGGGCUGGCGCACCCUCCUAUGGCAACCGGCCAAGUGGGAGAAAGGAAAGGGGGGAGGUUUCGGCCUCCCCCUUCCUUCCCUCUCCCCCCUUUCCUUCCCCCCUCCGACAAAUAUGGAAGGGGGUCGUGGCCAAGGGCAAGAGCCCAAGUAGGAUUUGGCCCUACUUGGGGCGCCCCUUGGCCUCUCCCCUCUUCCCCCACCUAUAUAUGGGGCGCCCCUUGGCCUCUCCCCUCUUCCCCCACUUAUGUAUAUGUGGGAGGGGGGCACCUAGCACAACCAUAACAGUUGCUUAGACAUGUGCGGAGCCCCCCUCCACCGUUUACACCCUCGGUCAUUUUUUUGUGGUGCUUAGGUGAAGCCCUGUGGAGAUAGCAUCACCAUCACCACGCCGUCGUGCUGCCGAAACUCAUCCACUACCUCGCCGUCUUGCUCGAUCAAGAAGGCGUGGACGUUGUCGUGGUUCUAAGUCUGACAGUAGAAUGGGGGUAGGUAUGAGGAGGCAAGAUCCUAGCUACGGUGAAGUUGUGCACGCAAGACUUACGAGUUCAAGCCCUUCUCAGAGGAAGUAACAGCCCUACGUCUCGGUGCCCGGAGGAUGGUCGAUUGGAUUAUGCGUGAAGUUACAGGGGGUGCGAACCCUUGUCUCAGAGGAGGGGGUGGCUUAUAUAGAGUGCGCUAGGACCCUAGCCAUCCCCCGUUACAUAGAGUUCAAUGUACAUAAAGAGGGGACGUUACUGGUAACGCCAGGAUUGAAGUGAUAUAAAUGAUCUUUAAGACUACGGAGCGAACGCCUAACUGUUGCUAUCCAAAGUGACCUUAGAUCUUAUGUACUCCGAGUGGUUUCUGAUGUGGUAGAAUGAUUAUAUCCUAGUCGAAUGGAAUUGGGUUGUCCGAGUGGAACCCAUGGUCGAGUGAGCUGCACCCUGAGGUGAUUUCAGUCGGUAGGAUUUGUUGUCCUUUGAAUGUCUUCGACUAUAGGGCAGUGUCCUUGGGGAGGGUGCUUAGAUCAGGUCUAUUGCCCUACCCUAGGUACAUAUCAUCGUCAUUAGCCCCCGAAUGGUUCUGGGUCCGAGUGGAGAUGGAGUUAAAGAUGGUUCCGACUCAAUGUUCAUGCUUCGGAAGCAUUUUACUUGGAUUGGUGAACCAUGCAAAAUUUCGACUUCAUUUCGAGUCGCCUUGAGCCAUUCAAAGGUUGUCGAGUGAACUUAACUGAUAAGCUUCGAAUGCUGAUAUGGCAUAAAAUCUUUGGCGUGAUCGAUUGCGCUGAUGUUCCCGGAUCUUGCGGGAUUCGAAAUCUGGGGAAGCGCGCGGGACGGAGAGAGCCGCAGUAAGCGGGGCGGAUUAGGUAGGGGUACCUCUAUUCUCACGCCACCUUUUUUGCCACGUAUCGAGCGCGUGACUGUUGCGGGAUUUGACAGGAUUGCCUGGGUCCACAAGUCAGUCACUCGGGGAACAUGACCAUAUAAGGCGUACGGGCCGGCGUCUUUGCACUGUGCGCCCCAUUUCCCACCUUCUUUCUCUACUUCUCCAUUGCAUCCACCUCUGCUCUCGGUGCCGCCGCCUAGUCCAAGCUCAACACGCUGCAAUGGGCAAGGAAAAGACGGCGGCUUUGGAGCGUGCGAAGAAGGCGACGACGAAGGCGAAGGGGAAGAAGACGAGCCGGGAAGGGUCGUCGUUGAAAACCGGCCUGCCGCUCGGCUGGAUCCAGGGCGACUGGAUCCGGUCAACGAUCCAGCUAGAAGACAUGGAGGAUCUGGCUAAGGGGGGACUGAUUCCCCACGAUUCUUGGUGGCUUCCGGAGGACGAGACCGAGCUGCGACCGCAGGAGGCUGAGUGUGUCCUUCUUGCGACCCACGUCGACUGUGGUUUCUCUUUGCCUCCCCAUCCUUUCUCUCGAGGUUUUCUGAACUUUUUUGGAGCCGAACUUCAUCACUUUUCUCCCAACACCAUCACAUACCUUGAUGCAUACGUGUCCAUGUGCGAGAACUUUCUGGGCUGUCGACCGCACUGGGGUCUCUUCAAACACAUUUUCACCUAUCGUUCUCAGUCUAUAAAAAAGGCCAAUCCGAGUGACGAGAGGACACACGUGAUCCAGAUGUGUGGAGGUCUAGGGAUCCAGAUGAGGAAUAAAAGUACUUUCCCUGCUAUGAUUCUUCCUUAGUCAGUCAGAGGCUGGCAAUCGACCUAGUUCUAUUGUAAGGACCAACCGACCCCGGGCCAGUCGACUGACCUUCCCCCAUUUUCCAUAGGAUGAGUUGAGAAGCCUUCCCCCUUGAGAGUGACUCCAGCUGAGAAAGUGGAGGUGAAUAUGUUGGUUGAGCGGGUAGUCCAACUUGUCUGCGAUGGUGUGACAGGCAUGGACUUGCUAGAGGUGUUCCUUAGUCGACGCAUCCAGCCACUCCAAGCCCGUGACCAUCCAAUGUGAAUGUAUUCGGGUAUUUAAGACAGCACUCAGAUCCACCCGGAGGAAGUUGACAAGAAGGCGGUGGCACAGUGGCUGCAAGGUAUUACUGGCAACAAAGACAACCCUAGGGGGUCUAGGAGGGUUCCUCCACUCGACAACACCACCGAACCAGACAAGGUCUAACUCUUUUCUUCUGAGUGUCUUUUAUUCUGACAUGUAUUUGUUCUCGAAUCUGAUUGAUAUCCACUCGAUUCUAUGCCUUGCAGAUCUACACUGAGAUGUAUUCGAUGCCCAACGGAGAGCAGGAGCAGGAGGGAGAGGCGAGCGGGGGUGACAGCGGUGACUGGCACUCCGACGGAAGAGGAGACGAGGAGAAUGAAGACUCGAGCAGUGGCGAGGAGGUCGACUCUCCACCUCGCACGGAAAGACGCUCCAAGCAGAGGCAGGACCCAGCAAGUGUUCGUCACAAAGCCACUCCACCGACAUGAGAGACCUCGAAGCACACUCGAACAUCUUCUCCUGUGCCGACUGAGAAAGCUCUGAAGUAGCCCAAAGUCGCGUCGUCAAAGCCCCAGAAGGCCCUGCCCAAGAUCAAAGUGGUCGUUCCCAUCGCUUCUGGGUAAUUAUUGUGCUCGACCUCUUGGUUUUUGCAUGACUCGAUCUUUGGUCGAUUCACUUUCCUGUUGUAAACGAGUGAAUUCUGAAAUUUGCAGUGCUGCCUCUGGGACUUCUCUUUACCAAGAUGAUGAUGAUGAGGAGAUGGAAGAUGCAGUCACCUCCAACGCGGUAUAACUCUUUUCGUCUUGUCUUUACUUUAUCAUCCAUUUUGAUGGCCGACUGAACUCUUGCAAUUGAUUGCUUUGCAGCUCCACCCAAUGUUAUUGAACUUCCAGAUGACGACGAGGAUGUGCCACAGAGACCCAUGGGAAGGAGGGGCAGGACUUCGAGCAGGAAGGCACCAGCUAGAAAGACGCCCCAGUCGACGCUGGCGACGGAACCAGUGAUUCAGCAGUCCGGAGACCUGAACUGGGCUUCUGUUACUUUUGUUGUUCCAGUGUCCGGUGAACGCCCUUCAUCGUCGACUGCACAAGUCCCUGUUUCGUCUAUCCAACACCACGUCUCGGAUCCUCAGGCUACCGCGACUGAACCACCGUCUCCGAUGUUCGUCACCCAUCAUGUUCCGGAAGACCAGGCAAGCGCUGCUACAGAAGCCAUACGCCAAGUAGGCCUGAUGAUGGAGCAGAUGAAGACAGUGCACCCGACCAGCCAAGCUGCUUAUGAUGCCAGUGCAGCCCUCCAAGCCAAUGUCCAGGUUAGUUGGUUUCCGGCUAAUCUCCUAGCUUGACUCUUGUUCUGUUAGGAUAUGCUACCUGAAACCUUUUCAUUGUGCAUCCAUUUGUCAACUUGUACUUCGCAUCUGUACACCCACUGGGUGUUUCAAUUUAUGUCGAGCAGUUUUUCCAGUUGAGUUGACUAGGUUGUGUUGAUUGUAACUUUGGACUAGUGGGGGCACACAUAGUGCACCCACUGGGUGUAGUCCCCGAGGCCGCCGUUGAAUGUGUGAUUUGGCGGGGGUCUUGAUGAAAAUAUUUUGUUCUUCAGUUCUUUCACUUAGUCUGGGCGGACCAUGUCGAGUGGAACCUGAACCAGUGGGGGCAUGCUGAGUGCACCCACUGGGUGUAGUCCCCGAGACCGCAGUCGACUGCGAGCAGUCGAUUGUGGUCUGAGAAUAACUGUUGCCUCUUCUUUCUUUUCUUUUUUUCCUUCCACUUGGUCUAGGCGGACCAUGUCUAGUGGAACCUGGACCAGUGGGGGCACACUAAGUGCACCCACUGGGUGUAGUCCCCGAGACUACUAUUGAAUGUUUGAUUUUGCAGUAGUCUUAGAAUUCUUUUCACUCGAAAGAGAAUAAUCUUUGAUUCUGUCCACUGAUGUAUCUCUUUACUCACUUUAGGAAUCAUGUGAGCUCAUCUACAAAUUUGCCAAAUUCGAGGAGAAGCAGAGACAGCUCAACCUUGACUUGGAGUUGGCCAAGCAGAACUUGUAGAAGGCCAAAGACGAAAUAGCUGGUAUGGAAGGUAAAAAACUUGUCGACUGUAGGAUUGGGCUGUCUCUCAAGUCAUCUCCUCGUUCUUCUCUUUGAACCGAGUGCUUGUUUGUUGUAUAUGUAUAUUUUUUAGAGAAAAUGAGGCAGGCGCUGGCACAGAAGGACCUUGAUCUUGCCGCAGCACAGAAGGAGGCUCAGGAGAAAACAACACUCCCUAAUAAGAAGCUGGCCUCAGUCGGGGCGCUAGAGGAAGACAAUGCCAAGCUGAAGACUGCUCUCGCCGAAGCUAAUAGAGAAGUGACCCAUCUAAAGAAGGACAAGGUAGCUUUGAACGCCAAGAUUGAAGACAUUUCUCAUAAGAGAAAUGAUCUGGAGGCUUAUCUGGGGGAACUCGCCAAGAAGUUAUUCCUUAUGCUUGAAGGUAUCUUUCCUUGUCCGACUGUUUUGCUAUCGUCAAUUCAUCAUAAAAGUCGUCAACUCAUUAGUUCUUUGUGGUUGUAGAAUUCUGUCAAAACUUUGAGGAAGAAACUAGGCGAAUUGAGACAAGCUUGGACCCCAUCAAUUCUCCUGUCAAGGAUGAAGUUUCCAUGGACGUGCUUCGACUGGAAUCCCGCCUUACCAGCAUUACGGACUACCUCGCUCGAUUGAAGGUUGCGGUGUCGCGGAUCGACACGACACUUUGGCCAAAGCAGACACUCCAAAAUGACCUCGAGUCUUUGAUGACUCGACUCAAUGAGAUCCAUGGUCAAGUGCAGGAAUGGAAGAAAUCAUCUGCUCGAUGUGGUGCUGAUGUAGCUCUGUCUCUUGUCCGCGUCCAUUGCAAGGAGGCCAAAGAAGAGAAGUUAGCGGCGAUCAAGGUUGCCAACACCAAGAGAUUUGACUUCCAGUCUUUUAUGGAGACCUUCAUUGCUGCUACUACUCGAAUUGCAGAUGGAAUCGACCUGGAUGAGUUCGUCGAGCCUACCAGUCCUCCUCCAAUGGAGUGAACAAACUUUUUAUGAUCCGAUUAAAUUUGCCUCGGUAUGCCGAGUGGUUUUGUAACUGUUAAACUCCUUCGGGCCUGGUGCCCGAGUACUUUAAUCUGCGGUCCGGAACCUCAUAGGAUUUAUCUGAACUUUGUUUCUUUUGAAUCUCUUGACUCUAAGUGGAACUUGAUUCUUCAGUCUGAAUUGUUACUGACUCUGUGAUGCAGCUCUGUUGAGUGGAUCAUAGACAAAGGCACUUGGUGCCGUCCAUGACCUGCACCUCGUCGUCCUUGUGGAUCAGGAUGGAGCGCACACUGUACUUGUGCCGCAGCUCUGAGGAUAAGGUCACAGUCGACCUGCACCUCAUCGUCCUUGCGGACCAGGAUGGAGCAUGUUUUAAAAUUAGGCGAGUACGGGACUGCAGCUAAGCCCCCGAGUGGGAGGAUUGCUCUCCACUCGGUAGGAUUUUUUUAAAACUUAGGCGAACACGAGACUACAGCUAAGCCCCCGAGUGAGAGGGUUGAUCUCCACUCGGUAGGAUUUUUUAAACUUAGGCUAGUACGAGACUGCAGCUAAGCCUCCGAGUGUGAGGGUUGCUCUCCACUUGGUAGGAUUUUUUAAAAAACUUAGGCGAAUACGGAACUGCAGCUAAGCCCCCGAGUGGGAGGGUUGCUCUCCACUCGGUAGGAUUUUUUAAACUUAGGUGAGUACGGAACUGCAGCUAAGCCCCCGAGUGGGAGGGUUGCUCUCCACUCGGUAGGAUUUUUUUAAACUUAGGCGAGUACGGAACUGCAGCUAAGCCCCCGAGUGGGAGGAUUGCUCUCCACUCGGUAGGAUUUUUUAAAACUUAAGCGAAUUAGAUUCAUAGCUAAGCCCCCGAGUGAGAGGCUUGCUCUUCACUUGAUAGGAUUUUGUUUUUGAAACUUAGGCGAAUCGGAUUCGUAGCUAAGUCACCCGCUAGGGGAUUUUGGACACAUGUAUAAGUAAUAACAAUCAUUUAAGAGACUGUAAAACCAUGUCUUUGAUAAACAAACUGAAAGGUACUUAUUACAUCUCGACGGUCUGAAUGCUUAAGUAUUAAAAUGGCGGAGAAGCUCCGCAUUCCAAGCGCGUGGCUCAUCUUUCUUGUGUUCCACAUCGUACAGGUGGUAUGCUCCAUUGUGGAGCACUUUGGUGAUGAUGAAGGGGCCUUCCCAGGCGGGAGCAAGCUUAUGUGAUCGUUGCUGAUCCACUCGGACAACCAGGUCCCCUUCCUGAAAUGCUCGACCUCUUACAUUCCUAGCAUGGAACCGACGAAGGUCUUGCUGAUAAAUGGUCGACCUGAUCAGGGCCAUCUCUCUUUCUUCUUCCAAAAGAUCAACAACAUCUUGUCGGGCUUGUUCUGCUUCUGCCUCUGAGAAAAGCUCCACUCACGGGGCAUUAUGGAGUAAAUCAGUCGGCAGCACGGCCUCAGCUUCAUAAACCAUGAAGAAGGGAGUCCGGCCAGUCGACCGAUUUGGCAUUGUUCUCAGACCCCACAAUACUGAUGGUAACUCAUCUACCCAGGCACCAGCCGCAUGCUUGAGGUCGCGCAUCAAUCUGCGCUUCAACCCUUGUAAGAUCAAACCAUUUGCUCUUUCUGCUUGUCCGUUCGACUGUGGGUGAGCGACUGAAGCAUAGUCGACCCGGGUGCCCUGGGAAGCACAUAAAGCUCUGAACUCAUCUGAAUCAAAAAUUGAACUAUUGUCUGUGAUGCUGCUGCACGAGACUCCAUAUCUGAAUGUUAACUCUGUGAUGAAGCUGACGGCGGUUCUCGAAUCAAGGUUCUUGAUGGGUUUGGCUUCAAUCCAUUUAGUGAACUUGUCGACUGCAACAAGCAGGUGGGUGAGACCACUUCUGCCAGUCCUCAAGGGUCCAACCAUAUCCAACCCCCAAACAUCAAAUGGCCAGACGAGUGGAAUGGUCUUCAAAGCUGAAGCGGGCUUGUGAGACAUGUUGGAAUAGAACUGGAAGCACUCACACUUGUCGACUAUUUCUUUUGCCAUUUCAUUCGCUCGUGGCUAGUAAAAACCUGCUCGGUAUGCUUUGGCCACGAUUGUCCGAGAGGACGCAUGGUGACCACAUGUCCCCGGGUGGAUAUCAUUGAGGAUCAUUCGACCUUCUUCUGGGGUAAUGCAUUGUUGAGCAACUCCAGUCACACUCUCCAUAUAUAGUCGACCACUUAUCAUAGUGAAGGCUUUGGAUCGACGGUCGAUCUGUCGUGCUUCAUCUUUGUCUUCUAGAAGUUCUUUCCUGAUAAUAUAUGCGAUAUACGACACUGUCCAGUCAGGAAUGACAACCAAAACCUCCAUGAUUAAGUCGACCAUAGCUGGGAUUUCAACUUCAGUCGGAUCAGUAGAACUCUUAGGUUGCGGGGGCUCUUCUGUGAAGGGAUCCUCUUGAACUGACGGUGUGUGUAGAUGUUCUAAGAACACAUUGUCGGGAAUGGGCUCCCGCUUGGAACCUAUGUUUGCCAGGUCAUCCGCUGCCUGGUUCUUCAGUCGGGGAAUAUGGUGGAACUCUAGCCCUUCAAACUUCUUUUCUAACUUUCUCACUGCAUUGCAAUAACCGGUCAUAGCUGGGCUUCUGACGUCCCACUCCUUCAUCACUUGAUUGACCACAAAAUCUGAGUCGCCGUAGACCAUUAGGCGACGGGCGCUGAGUGAAAUGGCCAUUCGCAACCCAUACAGAAGUGCUUCGUAUUCAGCAUCAUUGUUGGAGGAAUCAAAGUUAAUCUGAAGGACAUAAUUGAGUUUGUCACUUUGCAGGGAUACCAGAACUACUCCAGUGCCAGAACCAUUCAACAUCUUGGAUCCAUCAAAGAACAUAGUCCAAUGUUCUGAGUGAACUUGAGUCGGUUGCUGUUGUUCGAUCCACUCGACAAGGAAAUCUGCUAUUGCCUGGGACUUGAUUGCUUUCUUUGCCUCAAACUUGAUAUCCAACGGAAGGAGUUCAAUCGCCCACUUUGCCACUCGACUAGUUGCAUCUCUGUUGUUCAGAAUUUCUGACAAUGGAGCAUCACUAACGACCGUGAUAGAGUGAUCUGAGAAAUAAUGUGCAACCUUCUUCGUGGUCAAGUAAAUUCCAUAGACAAGCUUCUGAUAAUGCGGAUAUCUUUGCUUGGACGGAGUUAAGACCUCAGAAAUAUAGUGCACUGGGCGCUAAACCUUAUAGGAUUUACCUUCUUCUUCCGGCUCGACCGUGAGUACUGUACUGACAACUUGUCCAGUGGCUGCAAUAUAAAGCUGUAAAGGCUCUUUGAUGAUUGGAGCAGCGAGCACCGACUGGGUGGAGAGCAGGGUUUUGAGCUUUGCAAACGCUGCAUCAGCUUCAGGAGUCCACUCGAACUUAUCGGAUUUCUUCAUCAAUCGGUAAAGAGGCAACGCCUUUUCGCCGAGAUAAGAGAUGAAUCGACUCAAAGUGGCCAAACAACUAGUAAGCUUCUGAACAUCGUGUAUGCGCACAGGGCAUUUCAUUCAGAGUGUUGCACCAACUUUCUCUGGGUUUGCAUCGAUACCAUGUUCAGAAACGAGGAAACUGAGUAACUUUCCACCUGGAACUUCGAAUGUACACUUCGACGGGUUAAGCUUGAUAUCAUAUCUUCUCAGAUUGGCAAAGGUUUCAGCGAGGUCAGUCAGCAGGUCGGAACCUUUACGCGACUUAACCACGAUGUCAUCCAUGUAUGCUUCAACAUUCUGACUGAUUUGAGUGACCAGGCACUUCUAUAUCAUGCGCAUGAAUGUGGCACCAGCAUUCUUGAGACCAAAAGGCAUAGUAACAUAGCAAAAGCACCCAAAUGGGUGAUAAAAGCUGUUUUUAUUUCAUCGGGUCCAUACAGUCGGAUCUGAUGGUACCCGGAGUACGCGUCUAGAAAGGACAAUCUCGCACAUCCCGCAGUCGAGUCGACUAUUUGGUCGAUGCGGGGGAGAGGGAAGUGAUCUUUCGGGCAGGCCUGAUUGAUAUGCUUGAAGUCAAUACACAUACGGAGUGAAUCAUCUUUCUUGGGAACCAUGACGACGUUGGCGAGCCACUCGGAGUGGUAAAUCUCUCGGAUGAACUCAGCUGCCAGAAGCCGAGCCACUUCCUUGCCAAUUGCCUUUCUUUUCUCCACGGCAGACCGUUAGAGAUGCUCUUUGACAGGUUUUGCUUUUGGGUCGACUCGCAAACGGUGCUCAGCCAGUUCUCUGGGUACACCUGGCAUGUCAGAAGGUUUCCAUGCAAAGAUGUCCCAGUUCUCACGGAGGAACUGGAUGAGCGCUUCUUCCUAUUUGCUGUCGAGUGUUGUUGAAAUAUGAGUCGGAGCAACAUUGGGAUCAGUCGGGUGAAUAUGAACUGACUUUGUUUCACCAGACGACUUAAAUGCAGAUUCUGAAGCAGGCUUCUUAGCUCUCAACAAAUCACUCAGAUCUGUAGUCUUCUUGUAUUCUUCCAUUUCUACUGCUGCCAUCUGUUCAUCGGCAAUCUUCGAGCCUUUUUGGAAGCACUCUCCUGCUCGCUGCCGAUUACCAGUGACUAUAAUCACACCCCUAGGGCCAGGCAUCUUGAGUUUGAGGUACACGUAACAUGGCCGAGCCAUGAAACGAGCAUACGCAGUUCUGCCCAGGAUAGCAUGAUAGGCACUGUGAAAAUCCACAAUUUCAAAUGUCAACUUUUCAUUAUGGCAAUUCUUUGAAUCACUGAAAACCACGUCAAGAAUGAUCUGGCCGAGUGAAUCGGCUUUCUUUCCAGGUAUAACUCCAUGGAACCGCAUGUUGCUCUCGCUGAGUUUGGACAUCAGAAUGCCCAUCCCUCGAAGGGUCUCAACAUACAAAAUGUUCAAACCACUGCCGCCAUCCAUAAGGACUUUGGUCAAUCAGGUGCCCCCAAUGACCGGGUCGAUCACCAAUGCUUGCCUCCCGGGGGUGGCUACAUGCGGCGGGUGGUCAGACUGGUCGAAUGUGAUGAGAGUCUUUGACCAUUUCAAAUACGUCGUCGUUGCCGGAGCAACCAUGUUUACUUCUCUACUAAUGACUUUUAGUCGACUUUUACUUUCAAUGUCAGCGAAAAUCACCAAAGUGGAAUUGACAUUGGGGAAUCCUUCAUCAUCCUCUUCCUUGUCCUCAUCCUUAUCAGAUUCCUUCUCUUUCUCACUGGGUUGUUUUUCUCUCGGAACUGUUGUAUAAGGACUUGACACUGUCGAGUGGUAUGUUUGGGAUAAAUCAUAUUACCCUCUUCAUCCUUCUUGAUGUGAAUGUGACAUGGUAAAUCCAACACGUCGUUCCCUGCUGAAUCUUUUACCUUCUUGGGGAUCUAGGGCCCUUUAGGCUUUCCCUUAAAUUUUCCUUGGGUUGUGGCGGCAACCUCUCCAGGAGCCGCAGGCUCCGCUUUGCGCUUCUACUUCCGAUUGGAAUUACCUCCUCCAGUAUCCUGGCCGACUAGUUUACCCUUGCUGCUGCGGAGUCGGUCUUCUUCUUUGCCGUUUGCGUACCGAGUGGCUAUUUCCAUCAUUCGGGUCAGGGUCAUGUCUCCUAUCCGACCGAAUUUCAGGUUAAGCUCUCUAUACCGAACGCCCUCCUUGAAGGCGCAAACUGCUUGAUGCUGAGACACAUUCUCCACAUUGUGAUGCAAAGUGGUCCAUCUCUAGAUGUAAUCCCUCAAAGUUUCAUUCGGUUUUUGCACACAAUGCUGCAACUCUGUCAACCCUGCAGGUCAUUAGCAUGUGCCCUCGAAUGUUCUGACAAACACUCGGGCUAACUCCUCUUAGCUGAAUAUACUGCCUGGAGCCAACUGAUUCAACCAAGCUCUAGCUGACCCUUCAAGCAUCAGGGGAAGGUGUUUCAUGGCCACCUCAUGGUUUCCACCUCCGAUCUAAACAGCCACUCGGUAAACCUCAAGCCAAGUGUCAGGCUUCGAUUCACCAGUGAACUUACUAACUCCAGUCGCCAACCUGAAGUUAGGGGGAUCUCUGCAGCCCUGAUGGCUCUGCUAAAACACUCGGGGCCAAAAACAUGCACUCUGCUUCCAGUCGAGCGAUCUCUGUCCUGCCCUUCUCUGUGUGCUCGAUUCCUGUCCACUAGACCUUGUACCAGAAUUGACCUCGCAUCAAACCCUGACUCCCUUGGGUCGACUGGCAUCCCCCGCUCCUCGUUGUACGGGCGCCUAUCAUCAUAAUGCCGGGGCACGUAUGAUCCACCCCUUGGAGGGGGCGUAGGCACUCGACGAUGGUCAUCACGGUCGAGAUGAUGAUCGUGCUGCUCAUGGUUCUGAGCCAGGUACUGCCCUUGACGAUGCCCUCGCCCCUCACAUCACGGAGGCGAUCUUGGGCUAUGAGCCGACUGAACUGUGUCAGCCACCACAGAUCUGCUAUGAAUUCUGUUACGUGGCUGAGAUACUACAGUGUUCUGCUCUCCGGCUGCUCGGAGCAGCGCUCUGAUCUGCAUCAAACCUCUACCAGCUUCCGACUGGGACUGUUGAAUAGACUCUGCUAUGCUGGCUGUAGCUGUAAGGUUCUGGAUCGGAGUGCGGUAUACCUGUGGUUCAGGCAGGAACAGAUGCCACUGACUGGAUUCGGGGAUCUGCCACCGAGCACGCUCAUCGAGUGCAUGCUGAAGGUUCUCCAGUCGAGUGCGCUCAGUCAAAGUGGCCAAGCACGCUGCCUCCAAGGCCCGAGCCUCAGAGGUCUCUCCAACAACGGGCGUGUGGAGCGCCUCCAUAUUGCGGCGGUGAAGUUCCUCCCUCUACUGAGAAGAGAGGGUUUUGGGGUGGUACUCCUCAUGAACGCGCGACGGAUCGUCGCCGCCGUCGUCGCCGCCAUUGCGAUGCAUGCCAGGCAGGCUGCAUGGCGUGCCGACCAUCAGGACCUCCGCUGCGGGGUCACUGCUGUCGCACUCGGAUAGGGUCUUGACGGAGCCAGUCGACAGAUCGAACAGGCCAUAGAGAGAUUCAUCGGGCUCGAUUGCCGCGACUUGAGGGGUGGCCGACUAACGUGCCACCGCAUGCUUCACCCACCGCUGAAGCCGUGACCGACCAGACUGCUUGCGACGGGGAACAAUAGGGAGCGAAGACACCGCGGGAGCCAACCGAUACUGGGUCGACGGCUGCCGCAGAAGGACGCCACGAACGCACGCACGAAAGUGCGUCGCUCCACAGACGGGGAGUGUCUCGACGUCGAGGGGAGCUUCUUGAAGCCAAGCGGAGUCGUUGGCGAUGAAGACAAGCGCGCCGAGAUGGAUCUCGCGGCCCUCAGCCAAACCUCCACCGGAAACCAUGAUGAUAGGACUCGGAAAAAUUGCAACCUCAUCGAAAAGUCGCUAAGACACCGGCCCCACGGUGGGCGCCAAUUGUCGUGGUUCUAAGUCUGACAGUAGAAUGGGGGGCAGGUAUGAGGAGGCAAGAUCCUAGCUACGGUGAAGUUGUGCACGCAAGAUUUAUGAGUUCAGGCCAUCCUCAGAGGAAGUAACAGCCCUACGUCUCGGUGCCCGGAGGCUGGUCGAUUGGAUUAUGCGUGAAGUUACAGGGGGUGCGAACCCUUGUCUCAGAGGAGGGGGGUGGCUUACAUAGAGUGUGCCAGGACCCCAGCCAUCCCCCGUUACAUAGAGUUCAAUGUACAUAAAGAGGGGACGUUACUGGUAACGCCAGCAUUAAAGUGAUAUAAAUGAUCUUUAAGACUACGGAGUGAACGUCUGACCGUUGCUAUCCAGAGUGACCUUAGAUCUUCCAUACUCCGAGUGGUUUCUGAUGUGGUCGAAUGAUUAUAUCCUAGUCGAAUGGAAUUGGGUUGUCCGAGUGGAACCCAUGGUCGAGUGAGUUGCACCCUGAGGUGAUUUCAGUCGGUAGGAUUUGCUGUCCUUUGAAUGUCUUCGACUGUAGGGCAGUGUCCUUGGGGAGGGUGCUUAGAUCAGGUCUAUUGCCCUACCCUAGAUACAUAUCAUCGUCAAACAUCACUGAGCUGAAUGUAUGCUGAACGCGGAGGCGACGUACGUUCGGUACUCGAUCGGUUGGAUCAUGAAGAAGUUCGACUACAUCAAUCGCGUUACUAAACGCUUCCGCUUACGGUCUACGAGGGUACGUAGACACACUCUCCCCUCUUGUUGCUAUGCAUCUCCAUGCAUAGAUCUUGCGCGUGGGUAGAAAUUUUUUGUUUUAUUCAACAUUCCCCGACAGGCUCUGAAUAUAGUGGUAGGGUGUCACCUCCGGUUGCUUGGGUGACGGAGCAGGCGACUCGCGUGGUGUGUGGCCUUAGGGUCGAAGUGUGUGUUGUUUUCGUUUCUAAGCCGGAGCGGCGGCUCCGGUGGUUGUAGGGUGUCGGCUCCGAUUGCUCGGGCGACAGAGAUGGCGGCUCGCCUGGUGCGCAACCUCGGGGUCGGCGUGGAUGCCAGAGUGACGGCUUCAUUUUGGUUGUAGGUUGUCGGUUUCAGGUUGCUAGGGAGAAUGAGCUCUCGGCUCGCCUGAUGCGCGCCCUUCGGGUCGGCGUGGAUGCCGGAUUUGCGGCUUCAUUUUGGUUGUAGGUUGUCGGUUUCAGGUUGCUAGGGUGAUGGAGCUCUCGGCUCACCUGGUGCGCGCCCUUCGGGGCAGCAUGGAUAUCAGAGUGGCGGCUUCGAUUUUGGUUGUAGGCUGUCGACUUUUCUAUACCUAUACUUAAUAUUAAAGGAUGGAUUGUUUCUCCAUUAUUUUUGGUCCAUCAAUGUUUUUAGUACGUUUUUGUUUUUCGUCCGUCCCCUGUUUUACAGGUUUUUAUUUUUCGACUACAUCAAUCGCGUUACUAAACGUUUCCGCUUACGGUCUACGAGGGUACGUAGACACACUCUCCCCUCUUGUUGCUAUGCAUCUCCAUGCAUAGAUCUUGCGCGUGGGUAGAAAUUUUUUGUUUUCCAUUCAACAUUCCCCGACAGGCUCUGAAUAUAGUGGUAGGGUGUCACCUCCGGUUGCUUGGGUGACGGAGCAGGCGACUCGCGUGGUGUGUGGCCUUAGGGUCGAAGUGUGUGUUGUUUUCGUUUCUAAGCCGGAGCGGCGGCUCCGGUGGUUGUAGGGUGUCGGCUCCGAUUGCUCGGGCGACAGAGAUGGUGGCUCGCCUGGUGCGCGCCCUUCGGCGUGGAUGCCAGAGUGGCGGCUUCAUUUUGGUUGUAGGUUGUCGGUUUCAGGUUGCUAGGGGGAUGGAGCUCUCGGCUCGCCUGGUGCGCGCCCUUCGGGUCGGCGUGGAUGCCGGAUUUGCAGCUUCAUUUUGGUUGUAGGUUGUCGGUUUCAGGUUGCUAGGGUGAUGGAGCUCUCGGCUCACCUGGUGCGCGCCCUUCGGGGCAGCAUGGAUAUCAGAGUGGCGGCUUCGAUUUUGGUUGUAGGCUGUUGACUUUUCUAUACCUAUACUUAAUAUUAAAGGAUGGAUUGUUUCUCCAUUAUUUUUGGUCCAUCAAUGUUUUUAGUACGUUUUUGUUUUUCGUCCGUCCCCUGUUUUACAGGUUUUUAUUUUUCGUCCGUCGCUGCUUUACAUUAAAAAAAUAAAACAAUUGCUCUCGCUUAGACUCGAACCACUGCCCUCUUAUGUGCAGCUGCAAUGGAACAACCAGCCCACCUAGACAUAGUGUUACUUGAAAAAAUAGAGGAAUAUUGCCUUAUAUAUAUGCUCGUCUCAAGCGCGCCCUAUUGAGCCGGCCCAUUAGUGGCGAGGGACUUCCCUUUUUCUUAUUUCGUUUUUCUAUUUUUAUUAUUUGAAAUAAUUUGAGAUUUCAGAAAGUUCCAAAUUUCAAAAGAAAAUGUGAAUAUUGAAAAAUGUCCUGGAAACCAUGCGUCCUAUUAGGCUGGCCCAUGAUCGGGGAGGGACGCCACUGUUUUCUUAUUUUUUUAUUUGUUUCUCCUUUAAAUAAUUUGGGAUUUCAAGAAAGUUUCAAAUGAAAAAGGAAAGUGAAUUUUGAAAAAUGUUUCAGUAGUAGUAAAAUGUUUAUGAAUUUAACAAAAAAAUUGUGAAUUCAAAACAUGUUCAUUAAAAGUUCAUCGGUUCAAAAAAUGUUUUGUUGAUUCAAAAUCUUCAUGCAUUAAAAAUAAUGUUCGUCAAACAAAAAAUGUUCAUUAAUUUCAAAAAAUGUUCACCCAUUCCAAAAAUGUGUGCCCAUUGAAAAAAUAUUCACAAGUUAUAAAAAUGUUCAUCCAUUCAAAAAUUAAUCAUCUUGCACCGUAAGAAAUUUUCCAGUUACUCACAACAAUAUUCAUCAAGAUACCGUCAACCUUUUAGAUUUUGUUGAUUGUUUUAUUAUUGUUGUUGGCUCCACGCAAUAUGAUCCGUGCAAUCCAUGGUCAUGAACCUGAUGUUGCAAACUCCGUCAUCGCCUCGAUGAGGUCAUUGAAUUUUUGCCCCGAUGUAAAAUUCGUGUCACUUUGUUGUCCUAAUCUCUUUUUUAUAUAUACUAAUUAAAUAUUAAUAUUAAAGGAAGAAAGGAUUCUUCCGUCCAAUUAUAGUUCCCGUUGUCAUCUAUCUACCAAUGUACCACACACCUCUUAUGUUUCUCCGAUGCGUGGGCCGAGCUAGGCUGCUCCACACUUUUUUCUUUCUUCGAUUCAAUUGUGGAGCAGUGAAAAAUAAUAUGUUUCUAUUUCUCUCCUACGUCGGCCAAGAUGGGCCUAUUCCGAAACAACCUUUUCUUUUUCUUUUUUCUCAUUUGAUUGUGGCAUGGAGGCGAAAAUGAAACUAUGAAGCCGCAAACUGAAAUGUGAUCAUUUUGCAAAGAUGGUAUGAUUGAAAGCAUAAUUCUUUUUUAUAUUGGGAAUAAUUGUCGUGGAUCAUAAAUUAAAUAAUGGUUUAUAUAUUAGUCUAUGCUAGGGAAGUUAAAAAUUUCCCGUUGCAACGCACUGGCAUUUUUGCUAGUUAAUGAAUAAAGAAGAAGAUGGUCGUAAAAAAUAUAUUAUAAGAGACAUAUUUUUUUUUUCUUUUCCUACUACAACUCGACUGACCAGUUUGAGAGAAUGUGGCGAACCACACACUCUAUGGUUGGACGGUCAGGAGGAUAAUGAUAUUCUCAACUCACUAGAGUUUAAGUCCUCGACUUGAUAUUGGUGUUUGUAUUUUUCCUGUAUUUAUUUCAGGCCUUCUGACGAUGUGCAUUUAGUGGGAGGAGAUGUUUGCGUCGAUUACAAAGGCGUAUGGGACGGCUUCGUCAAUUUUCCCAGUCUCACCAAAGUGCUCAUAGUGUUAGGGUGUGCUAUAUACUGUGUUAGAAAAACACACUUCUUUUCGCAAAUUAUAUAAAAAUACAACUUUUUUCUUUUCUUUUCCUACUACUAGGCUAGCACACAAGUCGACCGACCGUGUGGGGCUGUGGGCUGUGGCGGCCAGCUUGAGAUCGCGUUAAGCUCGUUCCGAUCCAGACAGCGUCGCGUGUCCCACUCCGUCAUCCUCUCGUGAGUCCCCAACGCGGCGAAGUAUCUCUCCGCUCACCGGGCCCCGGCCGCAAUCUCUAGUCUCGUCUCUCCAACGCGACAACUUCCAACUCCCCCCAAAUUUCUUCACCUCGAAGCAAUUUCCCCCAACCCCUGACCCCGAUCCCCUCCUCCCUCCCCUCCGGCCACCGCGCCCCGAUGGCGGCCAACGUCAUGCUGGCGAUCCACGAGAAGAAGGCCGCGGCCGUCGACCUCUACCGCCCGCUCCGCCAGUACAUCGCCUCCGCCUACUCCGAGCGCGACGCGGCCACCGCCGACGACGACCUCUGCGCCGUGCGCGACCUCCGCGCCGCGCUCCUGGCCUACGCCCGCGCGCUCGCCCUCGUCGAGCCCCGCUUCCCCAUCUCCCCCGACCGCGCCCACGUCCACUCCCUCUCCUUCACCUGGCACGACGCCUUCAAGACCAACAAGAAGGUCGGCCUGCCCUCCGUCCACCUCGAGAAGGCCGCCGUGCUCUUCAACCUCGGCGCCGUCUNNNNNNNNNNNNNNNNNNNNNNNNNNNNNNNNNNNNNNNNNNNNNNNNNNNNNNNNNNNNNNNNNNNNNNNNNNNNNNNNNNNNNNNNNNNNNNNNNNNNNNNNNNNNNNNNNNNNNNNNNNNNNNNNNNNNNNNNNNNNNNNNNNNNNNNNNNNNNNNNNNNNNNNNNNNNNNNNNNNNNNNNNNNNNNNNNNNNNNNNNNNNNNNNNNNNNNNNNNNNNNNNNNNNNNNNNNNNNNNNNNNNNNNNNNNNNNNNNNNNNNNNNNNNNNNNNNNNNNNNNNNNNNNNNNNNNNNNNNNNNNNNNNNNNNNNNNNNNNNNNNNNNNNNNNNNNNNNNNNNNNNNNNACGUCAUGCUGGCGAUCCACGAGAAGAAGGCCGCGGCCGUCGACCUCUACCGCCCGCUCCGCCAGUACAUCGCCUCCGCCUACUCCGAGCGCGACGCGGCCACCGCCGACGACGACCUCUGCGCCGUGCGCGACCUCCGCGCCGCGGCCGUCGAGAGCCCCUCCCUCCCGGACUCCUCCUCCCUCGAGCAGCGCCGCGCCGCGCUCCUGGCCUACGCCCGCGCGCUCGCCCU